rnacentral:lncRNA from 1 species
CCAAAGAAUCAUAGCUCACUUUAAGUAUCUUUUGGAUCUCUUUAUUGGGAAUCCUGUCAUACCCAUCUAAUGUAUACUUCCAUUCCUCUAUGUUCUUUCCAAACAAGUUAGAACCCACUAUUUCUAUAACUAACGGAAGGCCAGAAGCAUAUGCAACAGCACGGUUUAAAAUCUCUUCGUAACCUGAAGGAACAUUGUCACUUUUAAAAGCCAUCCACCUCAACAAUUCAAGAGCUUCUGUCCCAUACAGCCCUUCCACUUUAUGCAUACUUUUUAUCCCAUGACAGGUUAGCAAGUGUUUGUCUCGAGUGGCAAUGAUGACUUUGCUUCCACGGCCGAACCAAUCAGGUCCUCCAGCCAAAGCAUGUAGUUGCUUCAUAUUGUCAACAUCAUCAAGAAUCAAAAGAACCUUCUUUCUAUGUAGCCUUUCCUUUAUAUAAGGAAUUCCCUCACUAACACCUCCAAACUUAAUUUCAAGUUGAAGUGUUUUUAAAAGGAGCUCCUCCUGAAGAUGUUUCAAUUUAUUUGAAGUUGAAUUCUCUCUCACAUUUUCAAGAAAACAUGAGCAUUCAAAUUGAUCAGCAAUAAAAUUAUAAAUUGCUUUUGCAAGUGUUGAUUUACCCAAUCCUCCAGUACCAUAAAGUCCUACCAUGUGGACUCCAUCAUCAGAUCUUUCAUCAAGAAGCGAUUUCACUUCUUGUACUUGAGACUGCAAUCCAACAGGGUAAUUGGCAACAUGUAAGGGUUGACGACUGAUCUUGUUGGAGAUGUAUUUGACUAUCUCUCCAGUAAACUCGUAUUCAUAUCUAUUCAUGCCCAAUAAGAUAAGUUAGUAUGUGACAACAUCACAAUCACAUCCAUGUUAUUCUUUAAGAUGAGAUUAUUGUGAAAUUUAAAUUAAAGAGAGAAAAUAUAAAAAAAGGUACCCAGGAGGACUAUCAUGGUAGCCGGAAAAGUUUGCAGCCUGGCUCAGAGCCACUUUCCAUCCCUGCAACCUCUCCAUGUUAUUCUUAUCAUUUUGAAACCUCUUUUCAUGCUCAGCCAAUGCUUCACCAUAACUACCUUUCUGAUGUCGCACUUUAGUAGGUUCCACGCCGAAGAAAACAGGCAAAACGAGGCGACCCUUUGUCUUGUAGCAGUGAAUUAUGUGGACAAGUUCGUCCAAACAAAACGAAGAAGAGGCAUAGUUGAUAGAAAACACAGGAAUAAAAAUCCUAGAUUCAUCAAUGGCCUUGAGGAGUGAUGGUGUGAUUUCAUCUCCUCUUGGAAGAUCAUUGUCAUCAAUGAAGGUAUGGAUUCCCUUGUCAGUAAGAGCCUUGUAGAGAUUUCCGGUAAAACCGUGGCGAGUGUCAGUGCCCCUAAAACUGAGGAACACUUGGUAAGUGAAUCCAUAGGAAAAUGAAGAAGAAGAGGAAGCUAAUUGCAUAGCCAUGAAAAUUGAGAGAAAUUGGAUGAAAAAAGAGUUUGAGAAUGCAGAAUAUGAAUGACUGGUCCGUGAUGUGGAGUCUUUAGUAUGUAACUAUAAAAGGAGAAAACUUACGACAAAAGUAGUAUGUGAAACUUCCUAGCCACUCCUAUAGCCGCGUGUACUAACUAUAUUUUAAAAUUAUAAAUGUCGGAAAAAGAAAGGCAGCAUCAAACAGCUUAAUAAACUAAUGCAUCAAAAGAGCUUAAUAUUAUCUCUUACUUUUAUGAGACUUCUUUCUCAUUUCCUAUCUUCUGUAAAACAAUGUGAAUGCCUUAAAAAUCAAACUUACAUUUUCAGGUGGGACCCUAAAAAUGAAUUAUGAGCUUAAGUGAUACUUUGUUUGGAGUUUGGACCUCAAUUGACAUUUCCAGCUGUAAUUCCAAUACAUGUUGAUAUUUCAUUACUUUGUAAACUAGUCUCUUAACAAGAAUAACACACUGAUAGACUAUAGAUAUGAUACUAUGCAAAAAGUAAACUAACUCCAUUCUGUUUUGCUAACUAACUCUGCUUAAUAAAUAAAACCAAUUUUUGCAGGAAAUUAGCAACAAUGCAAAUUGGGUAGAGUAACUUUUUAACAGACUUUUGAAUGCUAAAACCAAAGCAUCAUUUUAAACAGACUUUUUUUUAACACACUUUUGUGUGUAUUAGUAACACUUUUGUAUUAUAUUUGAACACAGAACAGAUUUAGUAAAAACUAAGCAAGGUGAUAAAUAUGGAGUAAUAUAGUUUGCAAAAAGCAACAAAUGCAUUCAUGAAAAGGCACUAUCAAUCUCUAAAGCUUGGUGCCAAUUCAUCUAUAAAACUAACAUUUCCAGCUGUUAUUCUAAGUCAAAACUUGUUUUUUUAAUAACAAAGGUUAAUUAAACUUUUUUUAAUAACAAAGGUUAAUUAUUAGUAUUUUCUUUUGUUAGGACUUUAACCCCUGAACUUUUAACUCCUCAACUUCUUUAAUCUCUUAGCUCAAAAUUGAUUUCAAUUCAUGUUGUACUUUAAUUGAGUAACUUGAUGUCUAUAUUUGAAAUUAGACUCACCUCUUCUAAGUUUUUAUUAAGUUCUAAUGAUAAAUAAUUCGUUUUACAACCCAAAAAAAAAAAAUGAAUAAAAUUAAACAUAUAAAGUAUAUACUAGCAAAGGUUCAUCCACAAAUUAUAAUUCAAUUUAUAAAAAUAUCAAAAUUGUUAAAUCGGACAUCAUGAUCGAGUUCAAACCACGACUCUUUUUUAUCAAAAAAAUUAAAAUAAAAAAGGUUGACUAAUAAAGUAACUCAUUAAGCUUGUUCCAAAAAAAAUAUACACAUUUGCUCCGGUCUAAAUUUUGGCAUAUUUACUGCAAUAUUCUCUUUGCUUCUUAUUUUACCCUGUAAUUGUUUCAUGGCACCCACCCAUCACUCUGCCCCAUGUCAUAUAUGCUCAUGGGCAGUAGGCAUGUCACAAAUUUUGGAUCUUUUCCCUAACUGCACCGGGUUUAACAUAAUUCGCAUAGUUUUCAAGAAAUGAUAUUUGAACAAUUAUUUUAUAAUAAUUUUAUGACAAUUUUCUCUCUCAUAUUCACAUUAUAUUUUUAUUAUCUUUUUCUAUUACUUUGAUUUUCGUGUCAAUACAUAUUUUUCUUUGUAAACAUAUGGUUGUCCAUUUGAUUGUCAAACAAAUAGAUGUUCAAAUAACACUGCUGAUAUUAAAUUAACCAUGCUACAAUAUAAAGGUAAUCAGAACUUUACUUUUCUUUUUCAAAAAAGGUCAACCAUUUUUUUAUGACUAGAAAUCUAGAUAAGCGUUCAAAGAGCCUUUCACGACUGAUAUCUCUCUCGAGCAUAAAAACGUAACUCAUUAAAUAAGUAAAUUUGUUCCUUUCCUGUCGAGCUCAUGGAACUUGGGAAGAAAAUAGUUGAUCAAUAGGGUUGAGAAUAGGCCAGGUCAAGCUUUGAUAGGCCUGAGCCUGACCUACGAAAAAAUUUGCAGGCCUGAGCCUGGCCUAUGGCCUUUCAUAGGCCUAUUUUUUUGGCUUGGCCUUGCCUAUUUAAAAGUCUGGCCUGGCCUGAAAGCCUAUUUACAGGCCUACUUACUAUUAAAGUCACUAAACAUUCCAUUUUAUCUACUUUUAAAUAGGCUUAAUAGACCUCAAAGCCUAUUUGAGUGUAAGACUUGUCUAUCACUAUAAGGCCUUAAAAGCUUAUUUUACUAUAAUGAUUUAAAGCCUAUUUAAAAAGUCCACUAUGAAGCCUAACAUGCAUAAACAGGCCGGCCUAUUAGGCUUCAUAGGCUUUUUUGAUAGCCUAAGUCUGGCCUAUUUACUUAAAUAGGCUUUUUAAAAAGCCUAAGCCUAACCUUUUUAAUAAACAGGCCAGGCCAGGCCAGGCCAUAGGCCCCUGUAGGCCGGCCUGACCUAUUCCCAACCCUAUUGAUCAAGUUACAUUUUAAUGAUUUUGGAUAAAAAUAGAAAUGAAAGAGAAUAUGGAUAAAAACAUAAUUGCAUAAAUUAAUAGAUAUAAUCAAAUUUUACAUAGGAGAAAUUACAAUCAAAAUGAAAGAAAGUGAACUCUUUGCAUUGUUGACUCAAAAUACUCAUAUUGCUCCAAAACUCUAAAAUACAUUUGAGAUGGGUGAAGGUUCAUAGUGUAAAAAUACAUUUGAGAAUAAACAAAAUGAAGCUUCAUUACACCAUCAAGAUACAUUUUGGUUACUUCUAACCAAAGAAAAACAAAAGGCAAAUUUACAUUUCAAAUAUCAUCAAAUGACAUGUUAAUUGAGUCUCACAUUUGCUUUAACUUGUGCUUCCAACACUAGUAGUAUCCGCAGGACCCGGAUUCCGUGCAUUAAUAAAAGUCCAUAGUUCCAUGCAGUUGUUAAUCUCAGGCAUUUGUGAUCGGAAGGUUCAAAUUACAUAUACACUAAUUUGGUUUACAACCAUCUCAGUUGUAGAUUUAAAUAAAACAGACUAGACUGGUGCAAUUACUAGUGGGAAUCCAUUUCCAUAUCAACUAAAUGAAAAACACUAAUAAAUAGACUAAAAGAAUUAUCCCACAUCGAUGAUAUCAUGUACAACCACAGUUGUCAAAAUUAGGAAUUUACUUCAGGUCGAAAGGGAAUAGUAAAAUCGGGACUCGUAAAAUCACAAUCAAAAUCGAAGGAUUUUACUCAAUGACUUGAGUAGAAACAAUAUAGGAAAUUGUAAAAUCAAAAUCGAUAAAUUUUUCCAAAAUAAUAAUAAUAUGUUAUAAAUGGUAUAUAGUCAUAAAUGAAUUAUAGUUUAUAAGAAAUCGUAAAAGACAACAAUGUUACAACCAAUUUUUGAAGACUUCCCUUUCCAUCAGAAACCAAAAGCCUAACAUUAAAUCAUAUAUUAUUGUUAUAAAUCACAUCCUGUUAACAAUUUGGAGAGGGAAGGGAAAAAGACAAGAAUAACCCACAAAAUAAAACUUCUCAAUUCAUUAUGCAGGAAUGUGAAAGUGCACAACUCUUUCCAUAUCAUCUUUAAAAUUUUGAUAAUGAAAAGCAUCAUGGAUGCAAAGGUAGUGCCUUUCCCUUUCAAUGAUUAACCUAAUCAACUUAGGGUAAUAUUGACAUCAUCACCAAGUGUGAAAAAACCGAAGAAUACUUCAAGAUGAUAUCGGUUCAUAAGGGUAUGAAAACCAGGGGUGCUUUAGAGCUUCAGAUGCAGAAGGUGCUUCUUCGGGUUAACCUCGAGCAAAUGAGAAACGAAGUCAGUGAAGCCUUGGUCCCCCAUUGGUAAUCUAUGCCUCAAAGAUGUCUUCUUUGGAAUCAGGUAUUCUAGUCUGCUGCUUUCCUGCAUAUCAAUACACAAUACCUCACUGAAUAAUUUUCCUAUGAUAAUUGAACAUACAAUGAUAAGUGUCUUGUGAGACUGAGAAUUUAUGGAAACAACUUAUGACAUGUUCAUAAGCUAUUUUCAAGUAAUUUCCAUAAAUUCUCUAGAUUUGCAAAUGAUAUCAGCUUACAGCUUAUAUGAAAAGAAUUUGACUUUAUUUUAUCUAUUAUUAUAGAAAAUAACAUAUAAAAGCACUUACAUGAUAAGUGUCUAUGAUAUAAGCUUAAUUAAUUUGUUUAUCCAAACAUGGAAAAUACAAGCGAACGAAAAUAGUCAAUUUUAGAAAGCUAUCUCAUGUUUUAAUUUUUAAAGACGAUGCAAAUGAAAAGAUAUUGAAAAUUUUAAGAUUGUUCGCUGAUGCAUUUCAUAUGCAAAGACACUUUAGAAAUGAAUUUCUUACCUGAUUCCUCUCAUAAAGCAUAUGAUUUUUUGUGAAGUACUUAUAAGUAUCCCGUUCUUUUGCUAGCAUACUUUGACCAAUUGAACCGAUGAUCCCAAUUACCCUAGCUAGUAAUGUUGCCGGGGAAUCGUUUUGGAAUAAGACCUACAAUAAGCAUAGUUGAGUUCAUUAAGAAUCAAGAUUUAUGAGUGUAUUCACUAAAACAGAUACAGAUUUGACAUCCGCUUUCACACAAAAAUGUAAAAACCCUACAACUGCAAGAACAUAUAACUUAAAAGAAAUUCACAGUACCAAAUAUGUCAAAUCAUUUUCACUUCUAAGGAUACUUCGUCAAUUUAUUUAAGGCAGCUUUUGAUGCACAGAUAAAAUGAAACAGGGCGACUCGUUCUCUUCUAUUCUCUAUAGAGUUCCACUAAAACAACAAAGAAACUCCAAGCGUUGUCAAUCGCAGAUCGCAGAAAAUAGUGGUUUGUUCCGAUUCUGCUACACAGGAGUUCAAUAGUGCCACUAGAGGAACUAUUUGACAAUAUUUUGUACUAUAAUGCGUGAUAAAGAACAAAAACGAUUUUUUCAAAUUCCGCUACGUUAUAGCCGCUAUUUAACAACACCCAAAUCAUUUUCAAAUUUAAAAUAUACUUUAUUAGUUUAUUUCAGGUAGUGUUCGGAACACGAAUGGAAUUAAAUGGGACAACUUAUUUUUGCUUCAACAAUUUUUCUGUUCUAUUUUUUAUUUGCUUCGAAAAUGUAGAAUAUAAAUUAUUCUAUGCUAUUUUAACCUGGCUACCAAAAACUUCCUUAAGACUAAGAGUGAUACAAUACAAUACAAUCAUACCCCAAUUUUUGACCUAAGAGAGCACUAACACGGGUCAUUUAGCUCCGACUGGUCUCAGCCUUUCGAGCAAAAAAAUUCGGCAGAAAGGUAUUUUAAAAUACCUCAUAUUUGAUUCCGAGUCGGGUCCUCUUCUCUCAAUUUUCAUUUAAUUUUAAUUUCCAUCUUUUAUUAACUUUAAAUUCAUUUUUUUAACCUUUAUUUUAUGAGAAUUGCUGUUCCCACAUAUAGUAUGGCUGUGCCACACGAGUAAAAUACCAAAAUGCCCUUCGGCAGUUUGCUACCGAAGUUUUAAGGAAACCGGCGGCAGUUAACUGCCGAAGAAAACCUCGGUAGUUAACUGCCGAGGAAAUCUGAACAUAACCAGAACGCAGAAACUCAGUUUUCUUCAUUCUUCAAACUUCUUCCAAACCAUCCAACUUCUCCAACUUCUCCAAAUUCGUUUUUUCAGCAAAAUCAAGUGCAUCAUCUUCAUUUAAACACAAGUAAGUAUGUUGACUCAUUUUUAAUCAUAAUGUUAGUUUGGGUAGGUUUUUUUUUUAAAAAAAAUGGUAGUUUUCAUGUGGUUAGGGUUGAUGUAGGAAUUGAAUUUUUUAUGAGUGCAUGUAGUUUAUAAUUGAAUGUAGUUGGUUUAAUUGAUGAUUGAAUGGUGUUAGGGUAUAAUAUGGUUUUGAAUGGUGGCAAAAGAAUACAUUUUGAGUAUGUUUGAUACUUUGCACACAAAGUGUUUGAUAAAAUGUGUCAAUGACAAAUUUAUUGAUUAUUUAGUUAGUUUAGGUAUUGGAUACGAUCUUGAUUGUAAUUUGAAAAAAUGUAUGUUGAAUUAAGUUGAAUGCAUAUUGAAAAACUGUAUAUUGAAUUAGGUUGAAUGUGUAUAUUGAAUUAUGUUUAGUUUAGGUUGAAUGUGUAUGAUAAUGCAUUUGAUUUUUUACGUUUGAAUGUUAAUGAUAAUGUGUAUGAUAAUGUUUAGGUUUAAUCAAUGUCUUUAUUUUGGUAAAGUGGUUUAAUGUGAAAGCGGUUAAGUUUAGGUUAUGUUUAGGUUGAAUGUGAAAGUCUAGGUUUUGUUUAGGUUUAGUGUUUGUUGAUAAAGUGGUUGAAUGAUAUUAAUUUUUUAUUUUUAUUUUUUGUAGAUAUGGCCGAUCAGGACCCCAUUGAUCCAUCGAAGAUGAUUGGUGGUAGGCGUGCCAUGACUCAGAGCCACCGUAGGGAGAGGCAGGGCGGCCACAUCCCAAAGAGGGGUAGAGGUCGAAGAGGAGAUGGCUCAGGAAGCUCUCAGGCUACACAGCCUGAGGAGUCACAGGUUGUUGACCCGCCACAGCCUGUUGACCAGACUGGGGUGGAGUACCUGAACUAUCAGAAUCAGGUACAGCAUGAUGUGACGGAUGGUGGAUAUGACCAGGAUCAUAUACCACAGCAGCAGGAUGCAGGAGACGAGGAUGACAUUGCAGCAGCUGCUGCACCGGAGGUGUUACCUACGGACCCUCCAUUUCCUGGUGGACCGGAGGACCUGUCAUUGCUCCACUCUUAUGCCGAUCAUGUGGCUUUGCCACUCUGGUAUAAUUCAAAUAAUGUAAGUGUAUUUAUUUUAAAUGUUUUUUCUUUAUGUUAAAAUAUUUUCUUUAAUUUAAAUGUGUGUUUGUUUAAUUAUUGUUAUCAUGGUUUUUGGGUGCCAAGCCAUUAAUUGGACUUGAACCUUUUGACCGUUGAUAUCUCUCUUUUUUCUUGGGAAGGGUAAAAGGAGAAAAACCCUUGAGUUUCCGAAUUCGGGGGUCGUUUUCGCUACGGGAAGGUGUUAGGCACCCGGAGCGAUUAUGGUAUUCCAUAAGAACCGCUUUCCUAAGUUUAUUUCUAUGCUUUAGUUUUAUUGCUUAUUUGUAAAAAAAGAAGGUGUGAUUAGUUAAGAACGGGGGUGAGAAGGAGUAGAAUUUGAUUUUUAUUUCGGCUUGGAUGAGUUUUGACUCAUUGCCUACGUACCGUUUUACGGGAUCAAAACCGAUCGUAGUUCGUUCUCAAAAAUGGUUUUUGUUUUUGUUGAUUGAUUUUAAGUUUGAAAAGAGAUUUUGAAGAAUAGAGAUGAGAGGCCUCAAGGGCAUAAGAUUUGGAAAAUGUGAGGUGGAAUUAGUUACUUUGCAAAAUGACGUCUAAGUAUGAUUAAAAUUUAUUAGAAAUUUUACUUAAGAAAAUAAAAGGGAAAUAAGGAGUUUUGACUCCUAUUUUAUUUUCAAAAAGGUUUUCAAGUGAGGUUAUUUGCAUGUUUUGGAAAAAGUUGGAUUUUCUCUAAGUGUUCAAAACUAAACGUUCAUCUAAUCAUGCAAUCCUAGCCAUACAUCUAUGCAUACAAUCCUAAGCAUACAUCUAGGGUGAGUGUGUGCGUGUCGGUGUGUCAUAGUGUCCAUAGUCCAUAUUACAAAAAUUCCCUAAAUACAUUCUAUGGCCCCUUUGCCAAGCUACAAACCAAUGGUAAAAUAUUACAUCACCGAAUGAAUUACAAUUUGCAAAAAAAGAAAACUAAACUAAAGGAGACAAUAGUGAAGAUGGUGAAGUGCUAUGAAGUGAUCAAUAUGAAAGGAAAUGUUAGUAGAAAAUGGUAAAAAAAGAAAGAAUGUGGCAUGAAGCGAUGGAAGAAAGUAUGGCAUAAAACAGUAAAGUGACGAUGAAAAUAAGCCGGAAACAUGUAACGAAUAAUGCACAUGAUGCAAGAACAAAACUCAACACAUCAGAACAGUGGCGUAUGCAUAGCAAACAGUAGCAAAAUUCAUAUGGAAUAGUAUGCAAAUCAAACAUGACGAACACGAUCAUCAUGCACAUGAAGUAACGGGUAAAAAUGCGAGAAAAGUGACUAAAAAAAUAGUAAAAACCCUUGACAAAACAACACUAAAAUUUUUACCAACUUUUCCAAGCAAAAUACCACUGAAAAUUACCAAGAAAAAUAGUAAAAUGACAUGGUAAAUUUCUUGGAAUUUAUUGAUAAAAAUUAACAUGAAUAAAGGGUGCAAACAGCAGGCAAGUAUGGUGCAAAUAGCAAAAAAUAAACAAAAACGUGAAAAGAAAUCUAAGCCCAACCCAAAGCCCAAUGCAGACUGGACCUGGAUCAUCCAAAGGCCUCAGAGGCGUUAGAUUGAUCCAGACCUAGAUCUGACGGUUCAAAAUAAGCAGCGCAUGGUAACACAGAUCAAGCACAUGGAAACAACGCAUCAUAACCAUUCAAAUGAAAAAACCCUAGAUCCUACGGUUCAAGAUGAAAACAAAAUAAACCGGACCGGUUCAAACGUCUAUAUAAGGACGUGGACACCGGUCCAGUCCAUUUCUUUCAUCUCUUUCUCUCUCUAAGCUUCCCUCUCCUCUCGCCUCUCUCCAGAACCUCACCGCCGGUGAGGAUGAAGCUACGGCGGAGACCUUGAAGGUCCGCCGGAAACUUCAUCUUCUCCGGCGAGACUAUGAACUUCCGGUGACCUAAAAAUUCCAGAACUUAAAGAUUUUUGCAUAUUUCGAUUCGUCCUUUAACCCUAAACACGAAUCCAGCAAUUAUUUUUUCAAAUACGGCCUGAAACGACGUAGAUCUAAAACUUUUCAUACGGUUUUGAAAAUGAUUUUGAUCUUUUUGAAAUAAAACGUUUAGAUCUUUAAAGAUCUACAUCGUUUCGUUGUUUGAUUCCGUUUCUGGUACUCGUUCUUGCUUUCAAAAUUUAGAUCCUUAUGGAUCUAGAUUUCGUGCUUACGGUUACGGUUUUCUCUUUGAAUUCUGGAAAUUUUUAGAUCUGUUUCUCGCGUGAUUUUGCAGGUUUAAAUUAUGAUUAUUUUCUGAGAAAAGAUUCUGAGUUUUACCUAAGGUUUUGGUUGAAACCUUUAAUGGAGGAAAUCUUUGGGAGAACUUGAAUCUGUUGUUUUCUGAUGAUUCUUGAUUCUUCCGCUUGCUUCACCGGUCCAGAUUCUGCAGAUUCUGCUUCUUUCCUUCUUCUUUCUCUUCACUGCUUCCUCGUGAUCAGUGCUUGAGCUCGUCGCGUUUCAGUGAUGAACUCGCACUUUGAAUUGCGAGGAAAUUGGUUCUGUGAUGAUGAUUCCGUAUUGAAUCUCUGAGAAUCAAUGAGUAAUCAAAGAAACUUUGUUGAAUUCUGUUGAAUUUGGUGUUUUUGUGUUGAUUCGGUGGAAAUCAAUGGUGGAUUGAGGUGGUUAUGGUUUCUGCCAUUGAUGAAUCUUUGAAGCUUUUUUUGUUGAUUCUGUUUUGGUGAGUUGGCACUUGGUGAAUGAAAAACGUCUGAAAUUCAUUGCCACUGUGUUGCUUUUAUAGCUGACAAGUGUACUGUCUGGCCAAUGGAAAACUGACACAUGUCCUGGACUUGUGAUUUGGGCGCUGCCUUGUAAUUUAGGACUUUGAGGACCUCCCUGCAAUUUUGUAAAAUAUGGAACUGGACUGCAAUUUUAAACAGAACUAAAAAGUAUAAAAAUUGGACAAUUUGGACUUAAAUGCAAUUUUAACAAAAUUAAGGGACUAAUAAUGCAAAAAUAAAAAUAAAAUGAAUUAAAAUUUGUAAUUUUGACCAAACGUAAAGCGAAACAAAAAUAAAAUUGACAAAACGGACUAAAACGAACCAAUGGCCUAAAUGAGGUACUUCAAAGUAACCUCUCUAUGCUAAAAUUUUAUGUGAAAUGACCAAAAUGCCCCUAGGGCUAAAAAUGACCUAAACAGACUCAAAUUGACUUGACACUGACUCAGAUGCAAGUUUGAAAUGAUUUUAGCAAGGUUUACUGAUGAAAUGUAAAAAAGAAUCAAUUUGAAAAGACUCAGAGACAGUCACAAGGAUGAAAAUGGGUCCCACUGCGGGAAAUGACCAAAAUACCCUUCUGUACAAUUUUUGCAAAUUUUGAAAUAAACUGUAGAAAAAGCAGUGUAAUGAUUCAGAGACACUUUUGAAUGACUUACAAGACAAGUAAAGACAUUCCGAAAGGUUUUAUGCAAGAAAAACAUAGGUAAAAUUGUGAUUGAAAAUACUGCGAGGCAGAGACAAUUUGAACUGUGCAGUUGAAAUUUGAUAAUUGACAAAGUUUGAAAUGAAAUUGGGCCCAGUAUUUUUAGGUCCAAAAACAGGGUAUAACAGCUGCCCCUAUUUAAGUUUCUUCGUCUGGAGAGUCAAGAGACGGAGUCUUUGGCUUGACAGGACGAAGAUACUUAAAUAUUAGCAUUUGCACUGUGUUUGGACGUAAAAAUACGCCUACCCAUUUUCAAAUAAUAUGCAUGCCAUGCAUCAUUUGGAUUAUGAAUGCAAGACCUCAUGGGGAUUGGAAUUAACAAAGUAUGUCGUAUCCAUUGCGGGAUUGGUAGACAUUGACAAGAUAACAUAUAACAGGGUAGACAGCAGACUAGAAGCAAAUUGACGGGUACAAGCUGCUCUUGGAUUGAGCUGGGCACUUGACCAAACAGAAACAUGUUGACAGGUACAAGCUGCUCUUGGAGUGAGCUGGGCACUUGACCGAUAAUGUUGAAAAGUAAACAGAUACAAGCUGUUCUUGAAUUGAACUGGCCACUUGAUUGAAAAACAAAGACACAAAGAUAGGUACAAGCUGUUCUUGGAUCGAACCUGCCACUUGACCACACAGAAACAAAGGCACGAGCUGUUCUUGGAUCGAACCUGCCACUCGACCAAAUAGAAACAAAUUGAUGGGUACAAGCUGUUCUUUGGAUCGAACUUGCCACUUGACCAGACAGAAACAAAGGUACGAGCUGUCCUUGGAUCGAACUUGCCACUCGACCAAACAGAAACAAAUUGAUGGGUACAAGCUGUUCUUUGGAUCGAACUUGCCACUUGACCAGAAAGAAAGAAAUUGACGGGUACAAGCUGUUCUUUGGAUCGAACUUGCCACUUGACCAAACAGAAACAAAGGUACGAGCUGUUCUUUGGAUCGAACUUGCCACUCGACCAGACAGAAACAAAGGUACGAGCUGUCCUUGGAUCGAACUUGCCACUCGACCAAACAGAAACAAAUUGAUGGGUACAAGCUGUUCUUUGGAUCGAACUUGCCACUUGACCAGAAAGAAAGAAAUUGACGGGUACAAGCUGUUCUUUGGAUCGAACUUGCCACUUGACCAGAAAGAAAGAAAUUGACGAGGGGAUUGGUUUGUUUUGACAAAAUAUAUAUUGAAAGUGACUUGACGUCGAUUUAAUUUGAAAAGUAGAAAUUGACCAAUAUUAUUGGCUCACAAGAUAACAGGGGUGUUGGUUAUUGACUUGAAAUUGGCAUUGCUAUUUGAAUUGAAAUUGACAUUGAUACUUGAAUUGAAAUUGACGUUGACAUUGAAUUUGAAAUUUGACAUUGAAUUGAAAUUGACAUUGAUAUUGACAUUGAAUUGAGAUUGACAUUGACAUUUGAAUUGAGAUUGACAUUGAUAUUGAAUUGAAAUUGACAUUGAUAUUGAAUUUGACAUUUGUAUUGGAAAUUGAAUGUGACAAUUGACAUUUGAACUGAAAUUUGACACUGACAUUGAUAUUGGAAAUGCAACAUGUAUGGAUGGUAUAACAAUUUUUAUCAGAUGUAUAGACAUGUAAUAUGCAUGAUCAUGCAUGUAUGAAUGAUUGAAAUGCAUGAUGGUUGACAGUUUGUAGACACGACUUCACGGGGAAGACAAGACAUUAGAGUAUUGGGCACGUAGUGGCUCGUGCUACAUCAUAGAAAUCCUCUUUGGAGAUAACGCCGUUGGGAGACGUACCAGAACCAUGGCUGAGGGUAGAUAGCUAAUCAACUUGCUGGGGAUAGAAUCUUGGAAGACCCGACUGGGGAUAACGCCGUUAUGCUGGGCAUUUCAGUGCUGGGUAUGUUGUAGAUAUCGCAUCUGUGGUCAAUGCUUUUUGCAUGUUAUAUUCUCAUUUUUCACAUCCUAUUUUUGCCUGGAUCGCCCUUUCGGGUUUUCGAUCCACCGGGAAAAUAGAUUCUUUUCUUGCCCCAUUUUUGCCUGAACUGCCCUUUUGGGGUUGUCAAUCCAGCGGGGUGCUCAUUUUUGCCUAAGUCGCCCUUUCGGGUUUUCAACUUAGCGAGCUCAUUUAUUUUCAUGCAUUUUCAUUCUGUUUUUUCAUUCUUGCCAUUGACCACAGACUAUCCUGGGGAAGAGCCUGCUUGUAACACAUAUUGAAAUAGACAUCAACAUAUACUCGCUCAUGCAUGUUUCAUUUGAAUGUACCCUGUUGCUCAGGUUUGCUUUUCAAAAUAGACAAAAAGUUUUCAAUUUUUAAAAUGUUUGUUUCAAGCAUUGUCAUUAUCAAAAUAGAAAGAAAAAUGUUUUGUAUAUAGCUUUGAAAGUAGAAGAAAAAAUAGAGUUUUCAAACAAAAGCAAAGGCUCAAAUUGAUGUAUAAGAGUGGUGGUCAGCCAAAGGCAUGACUCCACGGAUUCACAAAGCUUGGAAAAUGGUAAUUUUAUUGGUUGGUGGUACAUUGAACACAGUAACCACUACAGUUCUUAGAAACUUUGAAUUCACAAGUACAGAAGCUUCUGAUGGAGACGGUCAUUAACAGCUGCAGAUGCCCCAAGGGGAUUGUGAUUUGCCAGAUAUAGUUACUUGCCUUUUGUUUCAAUCUCAUUUUUGCAUGAACCGCCCUUUCGGGUUUUCGGCUCAUCGAGACGCUCAUUCUUGCCUGAGUUGCGUACAAUCUCAGCGAGCUUUUUCAUAUUUGUUUUUUUUGUCCCUUAUUUUUGCCUGGAUCGCCCUUUCGGGUUUUCGAUCCACCGGGAAGCGCAUUUUUGCCUAGGCCGCCCUUUCGGGUUUUCGACCUACCACGCUGUUCUUUUCAUAUAUCUAGGCGAAGUAUUUCUUGACUAUAUCAGCAUUCACAGGAUUUGGAAGUUCAACACCAUCCAUGUGAGUAAGAAUCAAAGCACCACCGGAGAAGGCCUUCUUGACAACAUAAGGACCUUCAUAGUUAGGCGUCCACUUGCCCCUUGGGUCGGGUUGCUGGCUUAUCCUCCUUUUCAAUACAAGUUCACCUUCCUUGAAUUCUCGAGGACGGACUUUCUUGUCAAAAGCAUCUUUCAUUCUUGCUUGAUAUGACUGUCCACGAGCCAUGGCAUCCAUACGUUUUUCCUCAACCAAAUUCAACUGAUCAUACCGGCUUUGGCACCAUUCAGCCUCGGAUAACUUUGCUUCCAUGAUCACACGGAGAGACGGAAUCUCCACUUCCAAAGGAAGAACUGCUUCCAUACCAUAUACAAGAGAGAAAGGGGUUGCCCCGGUUGAACUGCGCACUGUAGUACGGUAGCCAUGCAAAGCAUAGGGCAACAUCUCAUGCCAAUCUUUGUAAGUGGUUACCAUCUUCUGGACAAUCUUCUUGAUAUUCUUAUUGGCUGCCUCAACUGCGCCAUUCAUCUGAGGCCUAUAAGGAGAAGAGUUGUGAUGCUCAAUUUUGAAUUCUUCACAAAGAGCUUGCACUACAUUGUUGUUCAAGUUGGUACCAUUGUCGGUAAUGAUCUUGCUGGGAACACCAUAUCGACAGAUGAUGUUGUUCCUGAUGAACUUGGCUACCACUUGCUUGGUUACAUUGGUAUAAGAUGCAGCUUCGACCCAUUUGGUGAAGUAGUCAAUUGCCACUAAGAUGAAACGAUGACCGUUUGAAGCCUUCGGUUCAAUUCUUCCAAUCAUGUCUAUGCCCCACAUUGAAAACGGCCAUGGGGAUGUCAUAACAUUGAGAGCGUGCGGAGGCACAUGGAUCUUGUCAGCAUAAAUUUGACAUUUGUGGCAUUUUCUGGCGUGCUGGUAGCAAUCAUGCUCCAUGGUCAUCCAGUAGUAACCUGCCCGUAACAACUUUCUUGACAUAGUAUGCCCUGUAGCAUGGGUCCCGAAGGUACCGUCAUGUACAUCAUGCAUUAACUGCUCUGCUUCAUGUUCAUCAACACAUCUUAACAAUACCAUGUCAUAGUUUCUUUUGUACAGAAUAUCUCCAUCCAACAGGAAUCUACUGGCCAAUCUUCUCAGGGUCUUCUUGUCUUGUUUGGAAGCACCUGGCGGAUACUCACGGCUUAGCAAGAACUGUUUGAUGUCGUAAUACCAGGGUUUAUAGUCAACCACAUUUUCACCAGCCUGAUCGAUCACAUCCCCAAUAGCAAACACAUGUGAAGGUCUUUCAAGGCGUUGCACUCUGAUUAUUGGCACAUCAUUCCAAUGGUUCACUCGAAACAUGGAAGAUAGAGUAGCCAGAGCAUCAGCCAUUUGGUUCUCAUCACGAGGGAUAUGGUGCAACUCAACCUUUGUAAAAUAUGUCAGCAAACGUCUCGCAUAAUCACGGUAAGGAAUCAACUUGUCAUGAUGGGUCACCCAUUCACCCUUUAUCUGGUUGAUGACAAGUGCAGAAUCUCCAUAGAUGUCGAGGUGUUUGAUUCUCAUGUCAAUUGCUUCCUCGAUCCCGAAGAUACAUGCUUCGUAUUCAGCCAUAUUGUUUGUACAUUCGAAUAGAAUCCGGGCGGUAAAAGGAAUGUGAUGCCCCUGCGGGGAUACAAUGACUGCUCCGAUUCCUUUACCAUAAGCAUUGACAGCACCAUCAAAGACUAAACCCCACUUGCUAUUGGGAUCUGGACCUUCAUUAAUCAACGGUUCUUCGCAGUCUUUUGAUUUCAAAUACAUGAUCUCUUCAUCGGGGAAAUCGAACUCAAUUGGUUGGUAAUCAUCAAGAGGUUGGUAGGCAAGAUGAUCGGCAAGAAUGCUACCUUUGAUUGCCUUUUGAGUUUUGAACACAAUAUCAUAUUCAGACAAAAGCAUCUGCCAUCGUGCAAUCUUCCCAGUAACAGCAGCUUUCUCAAAGAUAUACUUGAUUGGAUCCAUUCUAGAUAUCAACCAAGUUGUAUGAUUCACCAAAUAAUGACGCAGGCGUUUGGCAGCCCAAGCUAGAGCACAACAAGUCUUCUCAAGCAUUGUAUACCGAGUUUCACGGUCGGUGAACUUCUUGCUUAGAUAGUAGAUGGCAUGUUCUUUCUUUCCAGUCUCAUCUUGUUGACCAAGUACGCAUCCCAUGGAUUCAUCAAAUACUGCCAAGUACAUAAUCAAAGGCCUUCCUUCCACGGGUGGGACAAGGAUAGGUGGUUUCAGCAGGUAAUUCUUGAUGCUAUCAAAAGCUUCUUGGCAUUCAUCAUUCCACACAAUAGGCUGAUUCUUUCUGAGUAGCUUGAAGAUCGGCCCGCAGGUUGCAGUCAUAUGAGAUAUGAAUCGGGAGAUGUAAUUCAAACGUCCGAGGAAACCUCUGACUUGCUUCUCGGUCCGUGGAGCUGGCAUUUCUCGGAUGGCCCGGACUUUAUCAGGAUCGACUUCAAUGCCUUUUUGGCUGACAAUGAAGCCUAAUAACUUUCCGGAUCUGACGCCGAAUGUACAUUUGUUAGGAUUCAAUCGAAGCUUGUACUUUCUCAACCUUUCGAACAUCUUUGUCAAAUAUUCAACAUGCUGCUCCUCAUCUGUUGACUUUACAAUCAUGUCGUCCACAUAUACUUCGACUUCUUUGUGAAUCAUAUCAUGAAACAGAGUAGUCAUUCCCCUUUGAUAGGUAGCACCAGCGUUAAUUAGGCCGAAUGGCAUCACCUUGUAGCAGAAAGUCCCCCAUGGGGUGAUAAAAGAUGUCUUUUCUCUAUCUUCAGGAGACAUUUUGAUCUGAUUGUAACCGGAGAAACCGUCCAUGAAGGAGAACACCUUAGACUGAGCAGUAUUAUCAACAAGCACAUCAAUAUGAGGUAAUGGGAAGCUGUCUUUUGGACUGGCUUUGUUCAAGUCUCUGAAGUCAACACACAUCCGGACUUUACCAUCCUUCUUUGGCACAGGUACAAUAUUGGCAACCCAUUCAGGGUAUUCAACUGUCAUGAGGAAACCCGCAUCAAUCUGUUUUUGAACCUCACUCUUAAUCUUAAGAGCCAUAUCUGGAUGAGUCCUUCUCAAUUUCUGCCUGCCGGGAGGACAUUCAGGCUUUGUGGGGAUCCGAUGCUCCACAAUUUUAGGAUCUAGACCUGGCAUAUCCUCAUACGACCAUGCAAAGAUGUCCGGAUAUUCCCGGAGGAGCUGGAUGAUCUUCUUUUUAACCCCUUCCUCUAGAGCAGCACCGAUCUUGAUUUCUCGCUUGUUUUCCUCGGUACCUAUGUUGAUAAGCUCAAUCUCUUCUUGGUGAGGCUGAAUAGCUUUCUUUUCUUGCUCAAGUAACCGAGUGAUCUCAUAUGGUAUGUCACUUUCUUCAUCUUCAGCUUCGUAUACCGGGAAUUCAAAGUUUGGAAGAGGCAUAGGAUUACUAUGUUCAAUGGGUUUAUUAUGGUUCAACCUGCAUAUAAUGAUUGGAUGAUUUUAGAAAGAGUUUUUUUUCAUGCGGGUUUUUGAAAUUAAUAAGAAAAUACAGAUGUUUUGGUUUUUUCUGGUAUUACCAUUAUUUCCAAGGAAAAAAGCACUUAAAAAAAAAGCAGUCGUGAAAGAAACGACAAUUUUUAUUCAUCAACGGCAAUGCCGAAACAAACGCGCCCUUACAGAAAAUAUCACUUUCGCUUUGGGCAGAGCGAGAGGAUUGUUAUUUUGAAAACAAAGUACUAAAGCAACAAGACGCAUUACUCGGAAACAUGCAUGAUUGAAGGAAUGUCAAUGGCAUCCCAAUCUCUAGCAAUGCCUCCUGGUAUGACAAAAAUGGGCCUGAGACCAGAUCCAGUUGCUUCUUCAGUGAUAGCAUUAACAAACCCAGCACUGUGGAAGACUCCCGAGGAAACCCUUGAUGACGGGGAGAACCCGAGACCUUCUUUACGCUUGUUCUCAUGAAGCUGUAUCACCUUGCCCCAGCCGGCAGUCUGACCUUCUUGAAUAACCCUCUGAGCAUCUUUCAAUGAAGCCAUAGCAGCCCCAGCUUUCUUAGGCUCCGCGCCUUCAAUGGUCAAACCUUGGAAAGCAGUCCCUUCAGCAGACCCUGCUUCAAUACAAGAGAAGGAAGACAGCUGGCUGACUAAAUAUGCUUCUUCACCAUGGACUGUAACGAGUUUUCCAUUCUUCACAAACUUUAACUUCUGAUGCAAGGUGGAGGUUACCGCGCCCGCGUCAUGUAUCCAAGGCCUUCCCAAGAGGCAGCUGUAUGAAGCAUUAAUAUCCAUGACUUGGAACGUGAUUAAGAAGUUCUCAGGGCCAACAGUUAUUGGCAAAUCUAUCUCCCCGAGGACAUUCUUGCGGGACCCAUCAAAUGCUUUCACUAGGAAAGUGCUUCUUCUUAGCGGAGUCUCACGGUAGCUCAACUGGUCCAGCGUUGACUUGGGCAUUACAUUCAAAGACGAUCCUGUGUCCACCAGCACAUUAGACAACAUAUCAGAUUUACAAUUCACCGAAAUAUGCAAAGCCAAAUUGUGGCACUUUCCCACUUCAGGUAACUCGUCUUCACCAAACCACAGAUUGUUACAAGCUGUAAUAUUCCCCACUAUAUCACCAAACCGAUCCUCGGUAACCUCAUGGUCGACAUACGCUUGCUCCAACACCUUCAACAAAGUCUUUCUGUGAGCCUCAGAACUCAGAAGCAAAGAUAGGACAGAUAUCUUCGACGGCGUUUGUAAUAACUGAUCCACGAUCUUAUAAUCGCUCCUUUUGAUUAUCCUCAGGAUCUCGUCCAGGUUGGAGUCCUCUAGAGACUGACUGGACUGUCCCACACCUUGAACAACGGGAGAUACAUCAGUCGGGAUUGACUUAUCAGCAGGUGAUGCAGCAGGUAUCUUUUGCUGGAACAAAGGAGGACGAACUCUUCCACUCCUUAACACCGCUGUGGUCCCUUCAACAUUGUUAUUCAUCACAACUGAGGACGCCAAAGGUGCCUCCUUUCCAUCUUCAACAACGGUAGCAUUAUACUUAUAAGGGACGGCCUUGUCUGAGGUAUAAGGUACCGGCCCAGGCAACCUUAUCACUAGUGGCACCACGUUCUCUCUCAUGGGUGAACUCCUUGCAGGCACAUCAUGGAAUACCGGCACAAUUACACAAACAUCACUAACAGUCAGAUGAUUAUCAUUCAUCAAGCUCUGGAUAUCCUCUUGCACAACGCGGCAACCCAAGGGAUUAAGGGCGCACUCGGAGCAACUGUCAUGAUCAUGUUUAAACAAAGAAGCCUGGCAAAGUUUAACAUGCAGGGGCACCAAAGGAGUCGCAACAUUACGGACAUCUAGUUUGGGCGCUUCUUCAUACGCUUCAAUCAUGUUUACUGCAGCAUGGUCUGGAAGAGGGUUAUCAAGGACAUGAGGAGUACUGUUCUCAAAAGUCAGCUUUCCUUGGUCAAUAAGCCUCUGGACAAUAUACUUUAAAGCAUAACACCUCUCAACGUCGUGACCCAAGGCCCCCUGAUGAAAGUCACACUUGAGAUCAGUACGAAACCUUGGUGGUAAUGGAUCUGGCGGAGGCCUACCCUGCCUAGUCGUACAAUGACCUCUCUGAAGUAAUGUUGGAAGUAAAUCAGCAUACAACAUCGGGAUUGGAGGAAAAGUAGGCCUAGCAAAAUGCUGCUGUUGUUGCUGUUGUUGUUGCUGAACUGGUGGUUGUUGUGGCUUCUGUUGCACAAUAGCAUUCACGGGUACCUGAGGUGGUCCUGAUGGCAAAGGAUAUUGAUGGUAAAACGGUGGGAAGAAUGGAUGCUGAGAAUAUGGUGUACAGGGGUAUGGUGGAGGUAGCUGAGCAACAUUAACAGGGGCGACAGUAGCCGUAGACUGACCUGCUCCCGAGGAUACCAUUCCAACCUCUGUUUCCUUCUUCUUGUGGUGGCCAUUGCCAUACCUCUUCGACCCACUUGUAGAAGACUCACCCUUCUCAAAUACAAUGAUACCCUCUCUGACGGCCUCCUCUAGACGAGUCCCCAUAGUUACCAUUUCAGAAAAGUUGCUAGGGGCAGCAAUAAUCAUCCUUUCAAUGUAGUCUUUCUUCAAGGUUUUCAAGAAAGUUUGGGUCAUCUCCUCUUCUUCUAGAGCGGGAGUAAUACGGGCAGCAGCUCUCCUCCAUCUUUGGGCAUAUUCACGGAAACUUUCGUCCUUCUUCUGAGAGAGGGACCUGAGAGAUUCCCUAUUUGGCUUUAAUCUGGUAUUGAACCCGUAAUGACUCUUGAAGGCAGCAGAUAACUCGUCAAAAGUAUGGAUGUCAUCCUUGCUCAAACCAGUAUACCACUCUGCAGCAUCUUCCAUCAGACUAUCCUGGAAGCAGUGGAUCAUAAGUGAGUCAUUGUCUUUGUAAUUUCCCAUCUUGCGGACAUAUUUGAUGAUAUGAUUUUGAGGACAAGUCAGCCCGUUGUACUUGUCGAACUCCGGGAGCUUGAAUUUCUUCGGAAUGUCUACUUUGGAUACCAAACAUAGGUCGCGAGCUUUGGCGGAGUCACCGCUCCUUUGACUAGCCUUGAUUUCCUGUCUGAGCUCUCUAGCAAGUUGUUCCAUCAUCUCCUCCAUAGUUCCAGUUACUGGAGUAUUCCUGCGGAGUACCUCAGCAUGUGUACCUUGGGAAGUUGUGGCCAUGAUGGGCUCAGCCAUAGUCGAAGUUGCUUGAGUUGAUGUAGUGUUGAUAGAAGUCAUAUUAAUCCCAGGAAUUGGGCCAUUGUUAGCUGUGCCAGAGGUUCCUGCUGUAGUACUUGGAGUGAAGAACGGUGGAAGCCCAUAUGGAAACCCCACUGGCAUAGUAAAGCGAGUGUCUGCAGAAGUGGUUGGGAGCACGCUUGUAGUCACCGGUGCAGUUGUGGCUGUAGGGAUAGCUGUAGCUGAUUGCUCUUGAGCGGCUAGCAGAGCAGUCAUGACAUCAUUAGCUUUAGCCAAUUCCUCCCUUAGAGUGGCUAACUCGGUGCGGAGCUGAGCGUUCUCUUCUUCCAUAGCCCUUUUCUUUCUUCUGUAUUCUCUGGUUCGAUCAAUUCUAUCAGGUUCGUAGACCCUCUGAGUACGAGCCACUUUUCACACUGCGGCAGAGGAACCAGGAGAUAGUGAGCAUUUGGGAGCCUUUGUGACCAAUGCAUGAUGCAUAUGAUGCAUGAUAUGCAAAUGCAAAUGCGAAAGACUUAUUUUUUCAUCGAAGGAUUUUUAAACAAAUUAGAAAUCUUGCAAAUAAUCAAAACUACAUAGUGUUUUCAAAAAGGAAGACUUUGAAAUUUCAACAAGAUAAACAAAUGAAGCCCUCAAGCAUAGGAAGUAGUCGGAGCAUCAUCGGACUCGGAAUCUGAAUCACCGUAUCUGGCAAAGAAGUCUCGUCGUCCUCUAGCUCUCUUGGAAUCCCUCAUAAGCAGCUCGUCUUUCUCUUCCAAUUCUCUCCGGACCUUAGCUAAUUCCUUCUUCAACAUCAGGUUAUCAUGAGUCUUCUGCUCAUCUCUACCAUCCAAAGUCAUGAUUAGAUUCUCAGCUUGAUUGUACCGAGCUUUCCACACUUGCUUCUCACGACUCUCCAUAGCUAGAUGCUCCUGAUACAUAUCCUGAGUCGUGGGGAGUAGAGGUAGAGGCAUAGAUGGAGUAGAUGAAGACACGUAUCUCAUAGCUGGAUAAGGCAUGCCAAUCUCCUCAGCUCGAUCUAUCACCCACUGAGUAUAGGCCUCGUGAGCAAUACCGGAUCUCACACCUAGAUGCUUCACACUCUUCCUUCGAACCUUGGACCAAGCAUCCAUGAAAGCUUUCCUUUGCCCGGUAGGAGCAUUCGUGUAGAAGAAGAACUCUGGAGAUGUAGCAAGACUGAUGGGCUUCGACUUCAUAGGGAAACCAAACUGUCUCAUAGCAAGCUCGGGGUUGUAGUUGAUUCCUCCACGGGUACCAAGAAGAGGUACAUUGAGAAAGUCUCCACAACCCAUAAUGAUUUCCUUCACCUGAGCGGCAGGAGUGAGCCAGACGACCUCAUUAGGAGUGAGAGCCAUAAUUCGCUGCGAGUAGGACCAAUUCUCCGAGUUGUCAUGGAAGGAACUCGGAAGGUGCGAAAUAAACCACCUAUACAAAAGAGAUAUGCAGCAAAGAAUAUACCCACGGCCCUUGAGAGUCCUGUCAUGAAUGGCGUGGUAGGUAUCUGCUAGCAAAGUAGGAACCGGGUUCUUGGAAUGGAAGAUCUCGAUAGCAUUCAUGUCCACGAAAUUGUCGAGGUUCGGAAAGAGAAUGAGCCCGUAGAUAAGCAAAGCAAGAAUAGCCUCGAGUGUAUCCUGACGAGUAGUGCUGAGAUUAGCCUGAUCAAGAAGAUACUUUGAAGUGAACCCCCGGAUGUGGGACUUGGUAAUAAGAUGGUUAGAGACGUCGGAAGUCUUGAGGUAGAGAUCUUUUGCAAUAACCAGAGGAGUAAGAGAAGUCCCGGGACCGGUGAAAGGCGUCUUCUCGGCUAUAGGUAAACCCACUAGAUUGGAAUAAGCCUCGAGCGUAGGAACCAACUGGAAGUCCGGGAAAGUGAAGCAACGGAAGCUCGGAUCAUAAAAUUGCACUAGAGUGUGCACUAGCUUCUCUUCCACAUCGGUUCGGAGCAAAGUAAGCAAUCCCCCAUACCGGAGUCGGAACCCUGUUUGACUCUUGACCUUAAGUGCCAACUCUCUCAAACUAACCAAAUCCACUUCCUUGAACUUGUAGCACUUAGUCUUCUUCAUACCUGUGAUUAUUUACAAAAAUUUCCAUUUGUUUAAGCCCUUCGAUGAAUGCAUGAAAAAUGUUUAUGCAUGAAUGCAUGUAUGCAUGAUAUUUUUUUCCUUUUCAAUUACGGAGAAAACAUGGAGGGUUGAGAUUAAAGUCGAGGAGCAAUGGGCGGACACGAUGCCCGGUAAACUAAAGUUUAGGAUAAUAGUAACCAAGGUUCCUAAUGAAGUUCCCAAACUGCAACCUCUCUUACGUAUAUCAUGGUGGCACGGGACAACAUCCGUUCCAUGCUUAUUCGUAAGAAGGUCUAGUUUGAGUGUAGUAUCGCGUGACGACUAAAGCUUGAGACAACACUCAAUUUAGCCACCGCACUACAUCUAAAAAAAAGGCCAAGGAUGGGCUUGGUAACUACGGUCCAUAGCAUCGUCGAACAAUUGAAAGCAAAAUGCCUAAGCAUGACAACACACGCCGACAAUAUUACUUUCAAAAUGCCUCAGCUAUGUGAGAUUGAUCGCAUAAUCCAAUACACGAGGCAACCCCCGGAUCGAAUUGUCGAUUAUAUCUCUACCUAAACAUAAGUUCACUCAGCCCGGGUAUAGGACUUUUGAUAUUCUCACCCCACACGUCAAAGGAAAAUAAACAAGUAUUCACAUAUGUAAGCAAUAAAACAAAGCGUAAAUAUAAACUAUGGAAAACUAGGCGUGACCCGAAUUAAUAUCCCCAGUGAAGUCGCCAUUUCUGUUAUCAUGGUUUUUGGGUGCCAAGCCAUUAAUUGGACUUGAACCUUUUGACCGUUGAUAUCUCUCUUUUUUCUUGGGAAGGGUAAAAGGAGAAAAACCCUUGAGUUUCCGAAUUCGGGGGUCGUUUUCGCUACGGGAAGGUGUUAGGCACCCGGAGCGAUUAUGGUAUUCCAUAAGAACCGCUUUCCUAAGUUUAUUUCUAUGCUUUAGUUUUAUUGCUUAUUUGUAAAAAAAGAAGGUGUGAUUAGUUAAGAACGGGGGUGAGAAGGAGUAGAAUUUGAUUUUUAUUUCGGCUUGGAUGAGUUUUGACUCAUUGCCUACGUACCGUUUUACGGGAUCAAAACCGAUCGUAGUUCGUUCUCAAAAAUGGUUUUUGUUUUUGUUGAUUGAUUUUAAGUUUGAAAAGAGAUUUUGAAGAAUAGAGAUGAGAGGCCUCAAGGGCGUAAGAUUUGGAAAAUGUGAGGUGGAAUUAGUUACUUUGCAAAAUGACGUCUAAGUAUGAUUAAAAUUUAUUAGAAAUUUUACUUAAGAAAAUAAAAGGGAAAUAAGGAGUUUUGACUCCUAUUUUAUUUUCAAAAAGGUUUUCAAGUGAGGUUAUUUGCAUGUUUUGGAAAAAGUUGGAUUUUCUCUAAGUGUUCAAAACUAAACGUUCAUCUAAUCAUGCAAUCCUAGCCAUACAUCUAUGCAUACAAUCCUAAGCAUACAUCUAGGGUGAGUGUGUGCGUGUCGGUGUGUCAUAGUGUCCAUAGUCCAUAUUACAAAAAUUCCCUAAAUACAUUCUAUGGCCCCUUUGCCAAGCUACAAACCAAUGGUAAAAUAUUACAUCACCGAAUGAAUUACAAUUUGCAAAAAAAGAAAACUAAACUAAAGGAGACAAUAGUGAAGAUGGUGAAGUGCUAUGAAGUGAUCAAUAUGAAAGGAAAUGUUAGUAGAAAAUGGUAAAAAAAGAAAGAAUGUGGCAUGAAGCGAUGGAAGAAAGUAUGGCAUAAAACAGUAAAGUGACGAUGAAAAUAAGCCGGAAACAUGUAACGAAUAAUGCACAUGAUGCAAGAACAAAACUCAACACAUCAGAACAGUGGCGUAUGCAUAGCAAACAGUAGCAAAAUUCAUAUGGAAUAGUAUGCAAAUCAAACAUGACGAACACGAUCAUCAUGCACAUGAAGUAACGGGUAAAAAUGCGAGAAAAGUGACUAAAAAAAUAGUAAAAACCCUUGACAAAACAACACUAAAAUUUUUACCAACUUUUCCAAGCAAAAUACCACUGAAAAUUACCAAGAAAAAUAGUAAAAUGACAUGGUAAAUUUCUUGGAAUUUAUUGAUAAAAAUUAACAUGAAUAAAGGGUGCAAACAGCAGGCAAGUAUGGUGCAAAUAGCAAAAAAUAAACAAAAACGUGAAAAGAAAUCUAAGCCCAACCCAAAGCCCAAUGCAGACUGGACCUGGAUCAUCCAAAGGCCUCAGAGGCGUUAGAUUGAUCCAGACCUAGAUCUGACGGUUCAAAAUAAGCAGCGCAUGGUAACACAGAUCAAGCACAUGGAAACAACGCAUCAUAACCAUUCAAAUGAAAAAACCCUAGAUCCUACGGUUCAAGAUGAAAACAAAAUAAACCGGACCGGUUCAAACGUCUAUAUAAGGACGUGGACACCGGUCCAGUCCAUUUCUUUCAUCUCUUUCUCUCUCUAAGCUUCCCUCUCCUCUCGCCUCUCUCCAGAACCUCACCGCCGGUGAGGAUGAAGCUACGGCGGAGACCUUGAAGGUCCGCCGGAAACUUCAUCUUCUCCGGCGAGACUAUGAACUUCCGGUGACCUAAAAAUUCCAGAACUUAAAGAUUUUUGCAUAUUUCGAUUCGUCCUUUAACCCUAAACACGAAUCCAGCAAUUAUUUUUUCAAAUACGGCCUGAAACGACGUAGAUCUAAAACUUUUCAUACGGUUUUGAAAAUGAUUUUGAUCUUUUUGAAAUAAAACGUUUAGAUCUUUAAAGAUCUACAUCGUUUCGUUGUUUGAUUCCGUUUCUGGUACUCGUUCUUGCUUUCAAAAUUUAGAUCCUUAUGGAUCUAGAUUUCGUGCUUACGGUUACGGUUUUCUCUUUGAAUUCUGGAAAUUUUUAGAUCUGUUUCUCGCGUGAUUUUGCAGGUUUAAAUUAUGAUUAUUUUCUGAGAAAAGAUUCUGAGUUUUACCUAAGGUUUUGGUUGAAACCUUUAAUGGAGGAAAUCUUUGGGAGAACUUGAAUCUGUUGUUUUCUGAUGAUUCUUGAUUCUUCCGCUUGCUUCACCGGUCCAGAUUCUGCAGAUUCUGCUUCUUUCCUUCUUCUUUCUCUUCACUGCUUCCUCGUGAUCAGUGCUUGAGCUCGUCGCGUUUCAGUGAUGAACUCGCACUUUGAAUUGCGAGGAAAUUGGUUCUGUGAUGAUGAUUCCGUAUUGAAUCUCUGAGAAUCAAUGAGUAAUCAAAGAAACUUUGUUGAAUUCUGUUGAAUUUGGUGUUUUUGUGUUGAUUCGGUGGAAAUCAAUGGUGGAUUGAGGUGGUUAUGGUUUCUGCCAUUGAUGAAUCUUUGAAGCUUUUUUUGUUGAUUCUGUUUUGGUGAGUUGGCACUUGGUGAAUGAAAAACGUCUGAAAUUCAUUGCCACUGUGUUGCUUUUAUAGCUGACAAGUGUACUGUCUGGCCAAUGGAAAACUGACACAUGUCCUGGACUUGUGAUUUGGGCGCUGCCUUGUAAUUUAGGACUUUGAGGACCUCCCUGCAAUUUUGUAAAAUAUGGAACUGGACUGCAAUUUUAAACAGAACUAAAAAGUAUAAAAAUUGGACAAUUUGGACUUAAAUGCAAUUUUAACAAAAUUAAGGGACUAAUAAUGCAAAAAUAAAAAUAAAAUGAAUUAAAAUUUGUAAUUUUGACCAAACGUAAAGCGAAACAAAAAUAAAAUUGACAAAACGGACUAAAACGAACCAAUGGCCUAAAUGAGGUACUUCAAAGUAACCUCUCUAUGCUAAAAUUUUAUGUGAAAUGACCAAAAUGCCCCUAGGGCUAAAAAUGACCUAAACAGACUCAAAUUGACUUGACACUGACUCAGAUGCAAGUUUGAAAUGAUUUUAGCAAGGUUUACUGAUGAAAUGUAAAAAAGAAUCAAUUUGAAAAGACUCAGAGACAGUCACAAGGAUGAAAAUGGGUCCCACUGCGGGAAAUGACCAAAAUACCCUUCUGUACAAUUUUUGCAAAUUUUGAAAUAAACUGUAGAAAAAGCAGUGUAAUGAUUCAGAGACACUUUUGAAUGACUUACAAGACAAGUAAAGACAUUCCGAAAGGUUUUAUGCAAGAAAAACAUAGGUAAAAUUGUGAUUGAAAAUACUGCGAGGCAGAGACAAUUUGAACUGUGCAGUUGAAAUUUGAUAAUUGACAAAGUUUGAAAUGAAAUUGGGCCCAGUAUUUUUAGGUCCAAAAACAGGGUAUAACAAUUAUUAUAUCCAGUUUUAUAUGUGUAUUUUUAAAUUAUAUUUUGUAUGUUUAAUUAUUAUAUCAACCUUUAUAUGUGUUUUUUUUUUAAUUAUUUUUCUUUAUGUUUAAUUAUUUUCUUUAAAUGUGUGUUUGUUUUAAUUAUUAUAUACACUGUUAUAUGUUUAUUUUUUUAAUUCUAUUUUUUAUGUUUAAUUGUUUUGUUUAUAUGUGUUUUUGUUUAAACCAUAUUUAUUUUUCUAUUAUUUCAGGUUCGUAAGACCCGCGUGCUUAAACCGAUUAAUCAUGGGGCCAAGAUUCUCACUCUCGGACGCCCUAACGCGAAUGAGAAUUGGUUUUGGGAUGCGCUUCAGCAGAGCGGGCUACAUGAUUUGGUUUACUUGGGGUACUCCACCGUGCCUCAUGCCCUGCUGCUGACUUUAUGCGAGAGGUGGCAUCCGGAGACCAGCACCUUCCACAUGCCGAUGGGGGAGAUGACUGUGACAUUGGAUGAUGUCGCAUGUCUGACGCAUCUUCCUAUUGAGGGGCGGAUGUUGGCUCAUGGGAAGAAGAUGCCCAGGCAUGAGGGAGCGGCACUGCUGAUGACGUAUCUGGGUGUGUCCCAGAAUGAGGCUGAGAAGAUCUGCAACCAGGAGUACGGCGGGUACAUUAGCUACCCGAGGCUGAGGGACUUCUAUACCUCGUACCUUGGUAGGGCCAACGUAUUGGCGGGUACGGAGGAUCCUGAGGAGCUUGAGGAGCUGGCGAGAGUCAGGACAUACUGCGUCCGGUGUUACCUUCUGUACUUGGUCGGAUGCUUGUUGUUUGGCGAUAGAAGCAACAAGCGCAUCGAGCUGAUAUAUUUGACGACCAUGGCGGACGGCUACGCAGGGAUGCGUAAUUAUUUCUAGGGAGCUAUGACCCUCGCCUACCUAUACGGCGAGUUGGCGGAUGCAUGUAGGCCUGGACACAGAGCGCUUGGGGGGAGCGUGACACUGCUCACUGUAAGAAAACUUAAAUUUUUUAUUUACGUUAACUUUAUUUUUUUGUUAACUUUUAUUUUUUUGUUAUAUUUUUCCGUGCGUAAUAAUUUAUAAAUGUUAUUUGUUUGCUUUGUGCAGGCAUGGUUUUUGGCGCAUUUUCCAGGGUUUUUUAGUGUUGAUCUCAACACUGACUACCUGGAAAACUAUCCGGUUGCAGCGAGGUGGAAGCACCAGAAGGGUCAUGGGGAGGGAAUCACGUAUCGGUCACUGCUCGAUCGUAUACAGUUAGAUGAUGUAUGCUGGAGGCCGUACGAGAAGCACAGAGAGAUCCAGGACUUCGAGGAGGUUUUCUGGUAUUCUGGAUGGAUUAUGUGCGGCGUCCGUAGGGUGUACCGUCACUUGCCCGAGAGGGUUUUGAGGCAGUACGGAUACGUGCAGACCAUCCCCAGACAUCCGACUGAUGUUAGGGACCUCCCACCGCCUUCCAUUGUGCAGAUGUUCGUCGACUUCGGCACUCACACGCUUAAGGCGGACGCUCGGGGUGAGCAGGCAGGAGAGGAUACAUGGCGGGUGGCGGAUGGCUAUGUCCUGUGGUACGCUAGGGUGUCUCACCCUCAGAUCUUGCCACCUAUUCCAAGAGAUCUUCCGAGGCCUGCAAAUGAAGAGCAGAUCAUUGCAGAGCAGUGGCAGCGGUAUGAGGCGAGAAGUUCGCCUGACACCUAUGACAUGGUCAGUGGCGUUGUUGCCUACGCUGAUGCGCAGUUAGGCCAGGAGGAGGUCAUGAGCAUGACCCCUCAGCAGUGGUUUGAGGCCAUGACCCAUAUGAGGGAGCAGAUCGCGCCGAUUUUGACCAGGAGGAGAGCCCAGAGGCCGAGGAGGAGGCACCAUCAGCAGGAUCAGGACCAGUAGUACUAUUUUCCUUUUUUAUGACUUAUUUUUUGGUUUUAGUCUUUUAGGGAUAUUUGUAUAUUUGUAUAUUUCUACUUUGAUGACAUUAUUUUUAAUUUCAUGGGCUUUUUUUACUUUGUUUAAUGUGCAAAUAUAGGUUGCUUUAAUGUGCAAAUAUAGGUUGCUUUAAGAACAUAAAACAUAAAAAUAAGUUGACAGUAGGAAAAAUAGGGAUGAGAAACAAUGAUUUUGUUUCAAAUAGUAGAACUUAAGAGAAAAAUAUAAAUUAAAUAGAUCUAAUUUAUAAUACAUUUAAAAAUAGUAGAACUUAAGACAAUGGCUGGAAAUGGUAUCUAAAAAUGAUAGGUGCUGCACAAAGGACAACUCUUUCCAUAGUUUCAGAUCAAGAAUUGGCGAAGAUGUGAGAGAACUUGAGAAUAUAAUAUAAGUGUCCCGUUCAUUUGCUCGCAAUUCGUGAAAGAAGAAUUGACGAAGAUUUGAGAGAACUUGAGAAUUUUGUGAAGUUUUGGAUGUUCAGUUUUCCUCGGCAGUUAACUACCGAGGUUUUCUUCGACAGUUUUCUUCGGCAGUUAACUGUCGAGGAUCUUCUACACUACAAAAUCUGGCAGAAUCUCCUCUCAUCCAUUAUUGAUCUUAUCUUCCAAAUAAUUUCUUCAAAUGUCUCUCAAAUUCUCUCUAAAAAACACAACCAAAUCCAACAAACUUUAUUCAACAAAAUCACAAGUAAGUAAUUAUAAUGCUAUUAACUUACAUUUUAGUUGUUAUAAAUGUUAUUAUUUUUUAGUUUUUGAGUACAUUUAUUAUUUUUUAGUAGAUUUACAUGUUAUAAUUAAAUUUUAGGGUAUAUGUUAGUUGAUUAAUGUUGUUAAAAUAUUUGCAUGAUGUUUAUGUUAUAUGAUUAAUUUUUUUAUUUUAGUAAGAGUAUAUGAUUUAUAAUUUUAGGGUUAUUUUUAUGAAUUUUAGAGUGUAUAUAUAAUGUGUUUUUGAUUGAUUGUUUUUAGUUUCUUAUUGUGUAGAUUUAAAACAAUGGUCGGGUGGAUCGACGUUCAUGCGCAAUUUAACGGCGGAGAACCUCAAAGGUUGAAGGUUCGGUGCCUUGGUGUAACGUUAAGAGGUCUCAAGGAUAAACUCACUGAAUUCAACCAAGGAGUCAACCCCAGAGACACAAGGAUGGUGGAACACAUUUGGUAUAAACGUCCAACGCUCGACGAGGGGAGAGUAUCAUUCAGUUGGGUGGAAUUAACGAACGACGAAAACGUGACGACCAUGUUUUGGAAGCACAGCAUGUUCCAGUGGAUCGAUAUGCGGGUGAAGUUGCUUAGAUCAACUGAAGAUAUCAUCAAAAGUUUGAUUCCGCCACAAGAUCGUCAUUAGUUAGGGUAAGGUGCAUUCCAACUACAACAUUUGUCUUCCUUUGAAUGAGGUAAUUCAAACUUGUCAAACAACAGGACUCAAGCAUUUCGCAAGCACCUCAUGUUUCUCCUUUGAAAAUAUUAAAUUUUUGUUAUGCUGGUUUAGAUGAAGGUAUUAAGUGUCAAGGAUUGAACCUCAAUUCGGUGGCACUUGAAUACCAUCAUCUAAAGCAAGCCUCACAAAAAUUUAUUAUUUUCAAAGGGAAAACAUGAGGUGUUUGGCGAAAUGUUUGAGUCCUGUUGUUUUGCAGGUUUGAAUUAUCUCAUUCAAAGGUAACACAAUUGUUGUGGUUGGAAUGCACAUUCCAACUGCAACAAUUGUCUUACUCUGGAUGGGGCAAUUCAAACUUGUUAGGCAGGACUCUAGUAUUCGAUGAGCAUCUUGAAUAAUGGUAUUCAAGUGUCAAGAAAUGCACCUCAUUCUUUUCACACUUGAAUACCAUCGUUCAAGAUGCUAAUCGAACACUGGAGUCCUGCUGCUUAGCAAGUUUGAAUUUGCCCCAUUCAGUGGUAAGAUGAUUGUUGCAGCUGGAAGGAAAAUUUCGGAAUCUAAUGUGUAAGGCAAUGUAAUGUGAUAACAUAUAUUUUGUUUUGAAUGGAACAAUAAUUAUCUUAUUUUUUUUUCAAAUUUAUUUAUUCCAAAUGCAAUUUUAUUCUAAGUACCAUAAUGAAACAAAAUGUGCGCGACACAAAAAUAAAACAUAAAAAAAUCCAAAACAAUUAGGCAUUAAAAGCCAUUACAUUCAUUCUUCCUCGUCACACAAAUCAAUUGGCUUGUCCGCUACAGUCCCUGCGGUACCUUGUUUUGGUUGAGGACCGAAAUAGCAUGUCCUCCCGCUCCUCCUCAACCUCGAGUGAUUGUACACCGGCACCUUCGAACCCUUCUUUUUUUCGGAACCAUCGCAAACAAUUACAUGCCACGUCAUAGGUGACUUUUCUUUUUUCGUCUCAUCAUCGUGAACGUUACCUUGAUUCUGAUUCUGAGACAUAUCUACAUUAAAAAAAAAUAUGGCGAUCAAUUCAACCUACACUAACCUAAACUAUCCUAACAUAUCAUAAAAUCAACAAAUCAAUAUAAUCAAACCUAUAUAAUCGAAAUUUAACAAAAAAUAACAUACAAUUCGACCACAAAGCAACAAUGCAAUAGGAUUCAAAAAACUUACUUGUUUUUGUGAUUAAAAUUGGCUUCUAAUGGCUUCAAAUGACUCAAAAUCGCACCUUCAAAAAUUAAAAACGCAACAAUGGAGUUUCGGAAACUCCUAUGAAGUUCUGUUCUUAUAACAUUCUCCUCAGCAGUUAACUACCGAGGUUUUCCUCGACACUGAACUGCCGCCGGUGUCCUAAAAACUUCGGCAGUUAACUGCCGCCGGUUCCUAAAAACCUCGGUAGCAAACUGCCGAGGGGCAUUUUGGUAUUUUACUAGUGUGGCACAGCCAAACAACAUGUGGGAACAGCAAUUCUCUUAUUUUAUCUUAUUUUUGUUUUAUUUAUUCUUAGUCCCUUUAUUUUAUUUUUAAUGUCCAAAAAUAAAUCAAAAUUUUGUCCGAUAAUAUCUAAACACACAGCUCAUUCACACAGCUCAAAACAGGCUGUCAUGUUCCUCUCCAAGCAACAAAAUUCUGCUUUAUAAAUACAACACACAAACCAGCCAAGAGAAAGAGGAGGGCCCAACGACAAUAACAACUUAAAAAACCUGCUACAACACAAAUCAACCCACAACCACGUAAUAACAAAAUCAAACUCAGCAACAAUCACCAAACCCUCUCAAACCCUAACCCCACAGUCACAAAAGCUAGUUUCAAACCAUCGACACAAUCACCAAACAUAAUCAAACCGAAUCAAACCUUUUCUUCAACAUACCCAAACCAACAAGUCGUACAAAAACAAACAGAUCCGAUAAAAAAAACACACAAGAAAAGGUAGUUCUUUUCAAACGUUUCAGAUCCAGGUUGUUAUAGACUUCAUUUCGAAUUUUUAAGGCUAAUAACGUAUAGAGGAGAGGGAGUAGAAGAGAAAGAACAAAAAAAAAAAAAAAGGAGUACAUCAUCACUCCGGCGCGGCGGCGCGGCCAUCUUGGCCGGCCGGCCACCGCGCCAGCCACCGGAGAAGAAGGUGGCGACGGAGAAGAAUUCUAGAGAGAAGGCAGAGCCUCUCUCUCUAGAAAUAAGAGAAGAGAGAGAAGUUUGAAAUUAAAAUGAUUAAAAAAACCGGAGCUGUGUAUUUAUAAAAGGGAUUGGAGCGGUUCAACCCCUGAACCGGUCUAUUCCAGGCCCACACGCGCCCGGCCUCACCCAAGGCCCAAAUCCUCUUCAUUUUAUUUUCUGCACCCUCCUUUACUGCUCACACACACCCCAGCAUCUCAUUUUUCUAAUUUCUAUUUCAUGCAUUUUAAUUCUCUCUCUAUCUGUUAAUCCAGAGUACUCUGGUCCUAUAUUAACUAUUAAUAUUAUAUUUUUGUUUAAUUUAAUUAUUCUCCAGAACAAUCUGGUCCUUGUUAAUUAAAUUAAUCCAGAGUGCUCUUGUCCUAUAUUAACUAUUAAUAUUAUAUUUUUUUUAAUUUAAUUAUUCUCCAGAACAAUCUGGUCCCUGUUAAUUAAAUUAAUCCAGAGUGCUCUGGUCCUAUAUUAACUGUUAAUAUUAUAUUUUGUUUAAUUUAAUUAUUCUCCAGAACAAUCUGGUCCCUGUUAAUUAAAUUAAUCCAGAGUGCUCUGGUCCUCAAUUAACUGUCAAUAUUAUAUUUUGUUAUUCUCCAGAAUAAUCUGGUCCUUGUUAAUUAAUUUAAUCCAGAGUGCUCUAGUCCUAAAUUAUUUGUUAAUAUUAUAUUUUUGUUUAAUUUAAUCAUUCUCCAGAGUGCUCUGGUCCCCUGCUUUUAUUUUCAUAACUUCGUUAGUUUAAUUUUUAUUUACUAUUCCAAAACAACAAAAACAUUCAAAUAUAAAAAAAUUCAUAAAAAGAACUUUUCAAAAUAAACCUUGAUCUUAAAUCAAGUGACCGUCUUUUUAUUUUAUUUUUCUUAAUCAAAUUUCAAAUCAAUUCUAAUUCAACUUCAAGUCAAUUUCUUUCAAUCUAAAAAACACAAAUCAAUUCUCAUUUGCCACUUGGCUUUUUAUUUCAAACCUUUUUCAAAAACUAAUAAAAAACACAAAAUCAAUCAAACGUCAAUUUCUACCCCGAACUACGAGGUUUUGAUCCCUCACGGGUACGUAGGCAGAGGACACUUGUCCUUCCCAAAUCAACUAAAAAACAAUUUUCUUUUUUCUCUUCAAUUGAAAUUAAUUUCUUUUUUUUCUUUUCAACUCAUCAUUCAAUUCUAUUUUUAUCUCUUCAAAAGCAAGCAAGUUUAAGCACAAAAAGUUAAAUAAAAUCAAGAGGUUCUCGUAGAGUACUACGAAUAUUUAGGGUGCUAACUGUUGUACCCUGAUUUUGGACCUAAAAAUACUUGUUCAAAUUUAUUUUCUACCACUAACAUUUGUUAAUUCGCUGUUAUUUUACUCCGAACAUUUACUCUUUUUUCAUCUGCAUAUCUUACUGUCUCCAUCUCGGAGUAUUUUCAAUCAUAAUUUUGUCUUUGAUUUUCUCGCAUAAAACUAUCCAAAGUGUCUGUCUUGCAUUUUUAUUUCAAAGCAUCUGCAAAAAUCAUACAAAAGGGUAUUUUGGUCAUUUCCUGCAGUGGAACCCAUUUUAAUCCCUGUAAUUGUCUCUGAGUCUUUUCAACUUGUUUUGCAAAUCAUUGUUAAAUCUCUUUUUAAAAUCAUCUCAAAAUUACAUUUGAGUCAGUUUGGGUCAGUUUAGUCCCUAGGGGCAUUUUGGUCUUUUCCUGUCAAAAUUUCGACAGGGAGGUAUUUUAAAAUACCUCAUGUCGGUAAUUUGUUCGUUUUAGUCCGUUUGUUGAUUUUAUUUUUCGUUUCACUUUACCUUUUUACCAAUUACCAAUUUUAAUUCAUUUUAUUUUUUUAUUUACAUUUCGGUCGCCCAAAAGAGUCCCAAAAUUGCAUUUUUGUCCAAUACUUUUUUUAAUUGCAUUUUUUUAGUCUUUUUUUUAUUGCAGAUUAGUCCUCAUAUUAACUUUUUUGCAGAUUAGUCCAUAAGUCCAAAACGGUCCAGAUGUCAUUUUUUCAUUGGUUCUCAGAUACACAUGGCAGGCUAUAAAUAGUAAAUGUGUCAGAUCCAUCACAAUCAGUCAGAAAAAUCAGAAUCAAUCACAAUCACUCUCAAACAGAAUCUUUUUCUCUCUCUCAUCCAUAACAUAAUCUUUUUCUCUCUCUCAUCCAUAACAGAAUCAAAACAGAAAAAAAAAACUCAGAAAAAGAGGAAGAACACCAAGAACACCUCAUCACCAAAAUCAACAGAUCUAAAUCGGAUCUGCUCAAAAUCAGCUCCAACCACCACAAAAUCAACAAAUCCGAACCGGAUUCACUCAAAACCACCGCGAAUCACCACAUCAACACCAAAACGUACCGGAUUUUCGAGCAAAAACAACACCAACGGAGGGUAUAGCGCGCGCGAAAGAGAAGAGGAGGAUUCGAAGUUUUUCCGAAGAUUUUUCUCCGUUUCACGACAGAGGUAACGCAUUUCUCUCCUCUUUUUUCUCCGUUUUCGCGCGCAUAUGUAGUGUAAAAAAGGUGUGAAAAAGUUUGUUACGGAUAUGUAUUUGUAGAUCUAGGCGUGUACGUUCGGAUUUUGAAAACUUUGAGGCCGAAUUCGGACACUAGAGAGAAAAGGAUAUCUAGAUCCGUAGUUUUUUUUUAAAAAAAGUGUGAAAAAUUUUCAAAGAAAAAAUGUAGAUCUAGUCCGAAUCGCUCCGUUCUCGCUAAAACUAACGCCGGAUUUGUGUAGAGGAGGUGGUCACGGAACUUUUGAUGUAAAAAUUUUUAAAAAAAAAAAAGAAGUUCGAAUUUUCCGGCGCGGUGGCGCCGCUGCCGGAAACCGGCCGGCCGCCGUGCCGGAAUCACCACCACCACCCACCUUCGCCGGCGGGAUUUUUAGAGAGAAGGGAGAGCUUCUCUCUCUAAGUGUGACUUAGAGAGAGAAGAAGAAGAGGUUUGUGUGUUUUUUGUGGGAAAUUCCUUUUUAUACUCCCUCCGUUCCCACGCGCGCGCGUGCAUGCUUCUGUGGUGUUCCCUCGCUCUGUGAACCAUCAGAUCUGGAUUGUUCCAAGAUCUGAUGGCUGCUGUGUGUUUGAUUUUGAAUCCUGUGUGUGAUUUUUUGUGUGGAAUAUGGUAUAUCUUCUGUUUGAACCGUUAGAUCUUUGAUCUAACGGUCACUGUGCUUCCUGCAUUUUUACACUAUCUUUUGUGCUUUUUUUUGGACCCUUGGAUCUUUGAUCCAGUGGCUGUGAUGUGAUCUUGGGAGUUAGAUCUGGACCUCUGGAUUCAUCCCGCGGUCCAGAUUAAAUCCUGCUGAGCCUCUUUUUAAUUGCUUUUUAAUUGUGUUUUAAAUACUUUUUUUACACUUUCUUGGUGUUUUAUGCUUCUAAAAAAAUUUCUAAAAAUAUUUCCCUAUCAUUUUAAUUUUUCCUCUAAGUAUUAGAAUUUAUUUGCUUAUUUUUGCAUUUAUUUUCUUUACUUUGUUCUUUUAAUUUUUGCUCAUUAAAUUCCAUAUAUGUUCUUGAUGCAUUUUUUCAUAUUGUCAUAUUUUUGCAUGUGAAAUAAUGUGUGAAAAUAUCUCUAGGAAUAUGAUAUAAUGCUUGGCUUGAGUGUACUCUUAUGAUCCUCACAUUGUAGUUUAAAUUCAAACCUUUCAAAAAUGGCUAUAAUGAGGGAAUUAUAGGUCAUAUGCAUGUAUGAGUGUUAUACCUAAAUUCUAGGUGUAUUUUUACUACUUUGUUUCAUUGCAUUAUUUUCUUUCUCUUGUGCUAUUCAAUUCUAUAUUGCUUGCAUUUUUUUUUUUAUUAUCAUUUUGUACUUGUGUUACUAACUCUUAUGCUUCAUAUCUCACUCAUUCCAUAAGCACCUAAUCUUUGUACCCUCAUUGCUCCUAGUUUAGGUUUUUCUUUUUGUAUUCAUUUCUAUGCCAAUUGGUUUGUAAUAAAUUUAGUUAGUUUAGUUUAGUUUACAUUCUUGCAAGACCAUAGCAUGUAUCUAGGACUCAAUGUAAAGGACUAUGGACACUAUAAGUGAUGUACACCGACACGAGCACCGACACAUGCACACACCCCACAUGGAUGUUCUAGAUGCAUGAUUAGGGAAUGUAUGCUUAGAUGUAUGCUUAGGUUUUACAACGCUUAGACAAAAAAAAUCAUUUUUCAAAAAUAUGAAUAACCUCAAUUGAAAACUUUUUUUUCUAAAAUAGGAGUCAAAACUCCUCAUUUCCCUUUUGUUUUCUUAAGAAAAAAAUCCCAAUGAAUUUUAAUCAUACUUAGACUUUAUUUUGCAAAAUAACUACUUCCACCUCACAUUUUCCAAAUCUCAUGCCCUUGAGGCCUCUCAUCUCCAUUCUUCAAAAUUCCUUCUUUCAAACUUAAAAUCAACCAACAAAAACAAAAACAAUUUUCGAGAACGAACUACGUUUGGUUUUGAUCCCUUAAAAGGGUACGUAGGCAAUGAGUUAAAACUCCUCCAAGCCAAGUAAAAUAAAAUCCCAAUCAUCUUCGCUUCCCCCAUUCUUCACUCAAAUAAAAUUUCUCUUUUAAAUAAGUAGGCAAUAAAAAUAAAGCGUAGAAAUAAACUUAGGAGAACGGUUCUUAUGGAAUACCAUAAUCGUUCCGGGUGCCUCACACCUUCCCGUAGCGAAAGCGACCCCCGAACUUAGAAUCUAAGGGUUUUUUCUCAAUUUUGCCCUUCCCAAGAAAAAAUAGAGAAUAUCAAAGAUUGAAAGGUUCAAGCCUAAUUAAUGACUUGACACCCGAAAAUCGCGAUAACACUAACACCUUCCCUAAAUAUAACCAACCCCCGAACCCUAAAUCUCUUCAAAAUGGGUUGUUUGUAACUUUUUCCCCUUAAAAAAAUUUGUUCAGUCGUGAGAUAAAAAGCGAGUCAAACGCCAGUCAAAUGGCCUUGACCUCCGAAAAAUGGCGCGACAAAUACAAUACAACAUAACUGUUGAGUUUUGUCUUCAAAUUUGUGGUCUGGAAGAACAGGGAAAUCGUGACACGAUUGUGGCAUCGUGACACGAUUUCGGGGUGCCGUGAGCUAGGUUGCAGGGUGCAAAAUCGUGGCACGAUUGUGAGAAAUCGUGACACGAUCGUGAAACUUGCUCGUUAAGUAUCCUUGAUAUUGACUGGUCGUUUCUUGGGUGGUACGCAGAUCGUGACACGAUUGCAAUAGAGGAAGACUAGUAUAAAGUGUUCUUGUGCAGAUUUGAAGAGAGAGUUGGAAGAGAGAGAGACUUGGGAAAUCAAAGGGAGAAACUCUAGGGUUUAGGGUUCUUUGAUUAGAGUAUCUCUUGGGUUGAAAACAUGGGAAACACCAUGUAGAGAGAAUCAUUGAGUGUCUUGGUGAGAUUGGGAAAAGGGUAGAAAUUAGGGUUUGUUCAUUGUGAACUUGUCAAGCUAAUUUCUUGUAACCUUUUGUAUCCCUUUUGUAAGAACUCUUUGAUAGUGGAUUGGAGAGUACAAACUCUCCUCCAGAGUAGAUCAAGUUUGGACCGAACUGGGUGAACAAUCUCUUGGUGCUUUUGUUUUCUUCUUCCCUCUCCUUUUAUCUUGUGUAUUGAGUUUCUCACUUGUUUCCUAGAUUAGAUCUAGGUGGUGUUUUGUUGAUUAUUGCUUGCACACACACUUUGUUCGGUGGUUACCACUCUCCUUUGCUCCACACAUCAUUCUUGUAUUGGUGUGGUUCGAUCUAGGUGAUCGGAAUUCACAACAAUAACAGAUCAAAUACGACCUGCACAAAUUGGCAUCUAAACAAUGCCAUCACCGGGGGGAAAACACGAAUCAAGGAUCAAGUAGUAAAUUUUGGGGUAAAUUAGACCUAGUGUAUUAAAGAGCAAAACUAGAGCAUCUUAAUGUUUAAAAAAUUUAUGGCAUUUUGCAAUUGAAUUGACUAUAUGUUAUACAUACUUACAUUGCCGGUACAAAGUUCUGCCAAGAUGCAUCCAAGGGACCAGAUAUCAAUCUUCUUGUCAUAUGAAAGCCCGAGAAUAACCUCAGGAGCACGAUAGGACCUCGACUGAACAUAUGAGCAAAGGUGAUCUGUCUCAAAACAACUACUUCCAAGAUCAAUGACCUUCACCUCACAUCGGUCGUAGCUUUUAACCAAAAUAUUCUCCGGCUUCAAGUCGCAAUGUGUUAGUCCAAGGUUAUGUAAGUACUGAAGUGCUUCCAAACAUUGAAUGGUAAUUGAUUGCAAUAACAAAUCAAGACAAGUUUCUAAUGAGACAGUAGUAGAAUCUAUCUAUACCUAUAUAUGAAGUGAAUACCAAUGUUUUCUGUAGUUUUUUUCUUUCAAUAUUUUUCGAUUAAAAUAACAAAUCUUCUUGCCUGUUAGAGGAAAUUUUGUUGACUAUCUGUAAUUAUGACACUAUGUCAUUACUAGUUUAGUAGACAUUUUCAUGUAAUUUUUAGGGUAAUUUAUCAAAAUUGUAGAAGCUGAAAGCACAAAAAAAAAAUGAUGAAUUCCGAUUUCCAGCAAGUUCCAAUUCGGGCCCCGAAUCCAAUCAUUCGGGCCCGAAUUCCAGCCACCAGAAGAGCAAUUUGGUGCGUGAAAAUUAUUGCUUGAAUUAGAAGUGCAAAUUACCAUAGGAGAACUUCGGAGGAUUCGAAGGUCUUAACCAUACUUCGCUCUAAUUUUCUUAAAACCAACUUUUAUUGUUUCAUCUACGUUUAUGUUAUAAAAACCAAUCCAACUGCCUAGGGCGACCAAAAAUUUAAUGCAUCCUUUCGAGAAAGAAAUUGCUGAGUAGGAAUUAACAACGGUCCUCGUGGAUUCGAUCUUAUUUAUUACUUCGAUAGUUUUAGUUCACUUGCCAAAUCUCUAUCAUGUAACUAAAAAUUUAAAGGAUUCAAGCUAGUUUGUGUUUUCUACUGUGCUGCUAUAGCUAGACCAUGGUUUUAGUUUUAGCGGCCAAACAAUAUGUUGUGGACCUUAAUAGAAAUAAUAAAAAACCUUAUUCUAAUUGUGAAUAACAGGAACAGAUUAUGAAUAAAGCAAAUUUACUGCCUAACAUAUAGAAUCAGAUAAUGGUAAUUACUGAUUACAGUAAAAGCCCUGGGGAUCUAUAAUUGACUGAAGUUCUGAUGAGAUAACAUAUAGAAAAGAUUGGAAGCCAACAUAAUAUUGCUUCCUAAGUAAAGAUCGUACCUCUAACCAUUUUUCCUAUAUUCUUUUCUCUCUCUGUCCCGUAUCUUCCACUUCUCUGUUUCCAUCCUUCCUUUCCUUUUCGGUUUUUUUUUUCUUCUUUUCCUCGCAUCAUCAAUUUUCAACCCCAAUUCAAACAUCACAAGAAUGAUAAUACAUCUAGGUAAAACUAUCGCAUAAAACAAAUGAUUUUGGGUAGCAUUUUGAGUUAGAGUUUGUGCUCUAAGAAAGGAGAAGAAUACCCAUACAUGGAAGGUGUGCUCUUUGGUGAUCCUUGAGAUUCGAUGGAAAUUGCUUUGGUGUUCAUUCCGGGAGGCAUUGCUAGGAAUGAAAUUGAUUAGCCAUAGUUGUGAGUUGAUGACGAUCCUUAUUUUAAUUAUCGUUAUUAUUGAUAUUUUGGUAAUUUUAUAAGUUAAAGUAUUUACCAAAAUGGGAAGCACACCCUUUGUUGUUGAAAUUUAUGUUUAAGGUCAUGAAUAUUGAUAUGGUCUCUAUUUGAACUUGUCUAUGAUUUAUAGAGCAAAGGUUUUAUAAUUGAGAUAUGGUUGCAUUUACUACUGACAUAAGUUUUGAGAUGUUGACAAAAAAAUGGUUUUUGAGAAAUAUGUUUUUGUUUUGAAAAUUAUUAUGAUACUAUUAUACACUCCAUUUGGAUUGGGUGUUGGAUUUACCUAUGAUUUAUGGUUUAUAAAGUAGUGAAUUUAAGAAUUGAAAUUUGAUUUCAUGUAUAUUGGCACUAGUUUUCAUACGUUGUAAAGCAUAGUUUGAAAUAUGUGUUUUUGAAAGGAUUUGAUAUAUAUGUACGCGAUUUGAAUUUGGAUUUACUUAUGAUGAUAACUAGUAGGUUUUCGAUUGAGUUCUGAUGAAAGUAUUUUGAUAUAAGUUUCGUUAUUUUGCGAAAUAUGGUUUUAGACAUGUGCUUUAAGAUUGGGGUUUUGAAAAUUACGGUUAUAAUUAAUGACGACGACCUAGGUGCACCUAGUAUGUGAUUUCGGUUAGGUAGAGUUACUCCAUUAGACGGAGCCGCCCCUAUGGAAAGGCCAGUACCAUUAGGAGGAGAGGGCUAUCAAUGAGAUGUAAACUCCCUAAUUGAAAAUGUUUUACAAUUUAUUUUGAGUCGGGAGAAAAGAGCUAUCUAUUAGAUGGAGCUACGACUAAGAGAAAGACCACUCAUAGGAAAUUUCCAUCAACGAUAUGGAGCUAGUUCUCGAUUCAUCCAUUUUGAUUAUUUUCACUAAAGUUGGAUUUUUAUACUUUCUCUGAAGUUGAUUAUUUUGGAUUCAUUUCAUUAAAUCCGAUUGUUAUAGUCUAUUUGGAUUUGAUUAUUUGGAUUCCUUUUCAUUAUACAUGAUUUCUAUAUUUCCUUUAAAGUUGUUGAUUUGGAUUCACCUCUUACGAAAUUGAUAUUUUGAUAUAGUAUUAUUUGAUUUGAUAAAUUUACAAAAUUUUCUGAAUUUUCAUGGUAUACUCUUGAUUGUGAAUUUAUUAUAUUUUUAAAACGAUUACAAGCUUUGUAAAUUAAAAUCAGAUUUGAGAAAAUAAAAUAAUUGUGCUCUCGUGUGUUUCCUUUCUAGUUGGUGGUGGUUGUUGUCUCUCACUAAGUCCUUGUGACUUACUAUUUUAUUUUCUAUUUUUAUUCCAGAUUCCCAAGCAACUAAGUAGGAAGCUGCUAGUAGAUUCGAAGUUCAGUGGUGUCACUUUUUUGGUGGGCUACCUUGAUGAAUGUCUCCAUUGUUUAUGUACAUGUUGAGUCAAAGUAUCUGCAGCUAUUUGAAGUUUAGAAAUGUCUCAUUUUGAGUUGUGCAAAUAUGUAAAAAUGUCACUUUGAAAUUCUGGUUGAUGAUAAUAGUUUAUGAACAGGAUUUAGAUCUUCGUAAUGUUGAAAAUAUAGGGGUUGCUCUGUCGAAAUUUCAGUAAACAUGAUUUUGAAUCGAAAGUUAGCUUGAAAAUUGUUUAUUAAUUCUUUGGUCAUCAGGCUUGCCGAACUAUAAGCUAUUAGUUCGUAUGCCGGUCACGGUUAUAUUUUUUUUUGGUCCUGACAAAAACCUUCACCCGUUAUUAAAAAAGUCAAAUUCCCCAAAGAAACUGUAAAGUUACAUUGCAACAAACAUACAUUUGGAAUUAAUAAUCAAAUACUCUAUUUAGAAAUAGUAGUUCAAAUCAUCGAACAUAGAUUGUGAUCUGUCAGUAUCGCAAUAUGUACAAACUCUUGUAUUCGUAAAAGCAAAUUAAUCGCAAUAUGAACACUCUGUUAAUAUGCACUAGGACUUGUGUUGUUGCUGCUAAACAAGUUCUGUCUCAAAAACUGAUUUGGCAGAAAAGUGUUUUUACACAUGAAUAACUUAUUAAUCACAAAAGUUAUACAGUGUUGUUGCUGCUACGCAAGUUCUGUCUCAGAAACUUCCAAGUUCUGAUCUUCAUCUUCUUUUCUCUUUCUAUAAGGAUAGGUGAAUAUCACAUCCUCUUCUGUGCUUCUUUUCUUGAACAUGUGGAUUCCAAUUUGUGUACUAAGAUUGAAAUCUUAAAACCUCUCAAACUGAGCUGCAAAGAAUGUCAUUAUUCAUUAGUCACUGCCCUUUGGAACAACCAAUGGAUUUUGUGGUGCGAGCAAUGUCUAGACAUAUCACAUGACAAUGCAAAUAGCCAGAUGACCAUAGAUGGUUUCCUGACAAUGUGUUGUUUCCUGACAAUGUAAAGUCAAUGAACAAGUAAAUGCUUAGUUUUGGUUAGAGAAAAGUUGCGUAUAUUACCGGCAACAGGCUGAAAUCGUUGGGAAAGGAUUCUCUAUGUUCAAUUAAUGAGAGAAAAUGUUGUUUAAACAUGGGGAUAGGGAGAUUAAGGGUAGAUAUUAGAAACAUCACUUUACUCAUGUUUAUUUCAACAUGAGAGGAUCCACUCUUGAAAUUUUCAUACACACCACUAUGCAGAAAACAACCAUUCUACCAUGUUACAAUUUUAAAAUGGAAACGUUCAGGCAAAACGAGAAAAUAAAAUGAAAUUCAUAUGAAUAAAGUAAAUAUUAAUUCAUGAGAUACAUUAAAGAGAAAUGGGGAAAAAGCAUAAUCCACUCAUUACAACAGUAACUUUAAUGCUUGGAAGCAUAAAACCAAAAUUUUGAGUUAUGAAACGAAAUUCUCCACUUCCAUUUGCCAGAUCAAAACAAAUAGUAAUCCCUGCUAUUACUCAUAGAUGUUUCUACUGCAGCAGCAGAUAAGAUCAAUAUUGAUUACUCAUGUUUGCUAAAGAGCUAGUGAAAUUUUUAUCAAUUAUCAGUAAUGUUUCAAUUGCAAUUACGUUAAGUUUCAUUCUUAAAAGUUAGAAUUGGAUGUACUACUCAAAUUAUCUAUACGUUUAGAGGUCAGGCUGAAAGCAUAUGACAUUACUCCAUAUCAAUAAUAGUAAUCCCUGUUAUUAGUGACUAAACAAGUCCAAUUUGAAUCAUAAUUAAUGAGAUCAAACAAGUUUAUCAAACAUAAAUACUUUUUUCUUUUUUACCCAAAUGAAAUGUAUAUACCUUACUGUUAAGAGUCCCACAUCGGUUAGGAGUUGGCCUGACAAUUUGUUUAUAAGUGGGGGAAAUCCUCACCUCACAAGUCGGUUUUGUGGGAUUGUGUUAGGCCCAACCACGAUUUCUAAUAUGGUAUCAGAGCCUCUUCACGAUUGUUUGGGCCACCUGUUAUCAGGCCACCCGUCAUUUAUGUUCAUGUAACAGUCCGAUUUUUAGCUAGUUUUAUUUAAUUACUCUUAUUGUUUGAUUGUAUGUGAUUAGUAUUUAAUUGUCAUUGGGUGCAUUUAAAUGGAUUACCGUAUUAGAAGGGUAUUUUGGUCAUUUGACGGGUAAGGGUAAAAUGGUAAUUUUGGUGAGAAUUAUUUUAUUAAUUGGUGAGGACCCUUAUUUUACUAAGUUACUAGUGGAGUGAUUAGUUUUUACCGUUAGUAACCGUUGGUUAUAUUUUAUCGUCGUUAGUAAUUACCGUCGAGUGUAUAGAAACUUUUGAAUUGUGUUAGAAUGGGUUAGGCCCAUUAGCAUUUUGAGUUAAGCCCAUUAAGGGGGAUAACACUAGGGUUGUCUUAGAAUUGUAUUCAUUUUCACAAAACAAUUUUCAUAGAGAGAAGGAGAGGUAGAGAGAGAAGAGGUGAAGAGAAGAGCAAGAGGGUUGAAGGGAAGCUUUAGGAAUCAAGUGGGUGACCUAGGAGCUGAAUUGAAGCAAGGGUUAGAGAUAAUCAACUUCAAAGGUGAGGGGGUUAGUGAUUAUCAUAAUCAUGUGUAAUUUUGCAUUUUCUCAUGUUGUAUGAAAAUGGAUUGAUGAACAAAUCAUGCUAAAUUCGUGCUCUUGCUGUGAUGUUAUGCUUGUAUGCAUGAAUUGAUGUUAGUUGUAUAAUUGUUGGUGAAAUUACAUGUUCAUAUAUGCAAAAAUGAUAAGUUAUGAAGAUUGUGCUAAAUUGGUGAAUUUCUCCUAAGUUGUUGUUAAUUUGAGUUGUGAUUCUUGUUCCAAUGAUGUUAUGAAUGUUAUUUGAUAUUAUGAUUGAUGAAUAAUUGCUUGGGUAUGCAUAUUCAUGGAUUAAUGAUGAGAAUUUGAAUUGUGUCGGUGUUUUGGUGAAAAUGAAGAGUUAGCUCAAAUGUCAAGUGUUUUCAAGUUUGAUUGUGUCUUUGUAAGUCUUUUUAGUCAUAUUGACCUAUAAACAUGUUCUUGAAACACAUUUGGGCAUUGAGGGAUCAAAAUUUGGGUUUUGGGGUGAAAAAUGGUUCAAACCCGUGAAAAAUUAUGCAGAAAUGAUGACUGUUCACUUAAGCGAACUGGAAGCGAGUUGUAAGCGAACAGCUACUGUAAGCAGGUCGCUUAAGCGAAGAAUCGUUCGUUUAAGCGAAAUGCCUUUUGACAGCAUUUCUGAUUUCGCGUUCUUGUGUCUUUUUCACACGUUUCUGUUUUGAAUUGGACUUUGGUGUAAACAUGAAAGUUGUAGAUAAUUUUGUUAGCUUUCUAAUGGCAUUGGUUUGACGUCCAAAUGAUUUUUAGAACUUGAGAUAUGAUUAAAUUACUACACAUGGGUCAUGUGGAUUUUUGUGAAAACUUAUCAUAACUUUCUCUAUGAGCCGUGGAACUUUUCCAAACUUGAUAUUGUGUUUAAUGAAGUACUUAGAGUGAAUAAUUUAGUAUGCAUUUAUGUAUUUGGGAAUGUGAAUGUGUUGAUGGUUUAAGAAAUAUUUCGGGCGGAGUUGAAUCGGUGAAAAUGGGUUUUGAGCUAAAUGUUGUUUUGUCUUGGUUUUUCUCAUACGAACUUGAGCUACCCUUUGAACUAAUUUCUAAUAGUUUGUAAGUGGCUUAAGUCCUUGACUACAUGAUUGAUUAAGAUUGAAUUGUAGGAUUUCAAACUUAAAUAAGUUGUCUAGCUUUAAAAAUUGUCAAUGUUGGCCGUUUGCCACAUGUUUUGGAUUUUUGUUGGAAAUGUUUCUUAAGCAAAUUGUCUUGUGAGUUAUUGAGAUUAUUCUUGUAUGACUAAGUGAAGUUGUAUGAAUGAAUGAUUGUAUUGAAUAUGAUGUUUAUCAUGAGAUGUGUAUGCUAUCUUACUUAGAAUGUAAGGAAUGCUUGAAUGGUGAAACUAUAUGUGAUAGUUGAUGUUGGAUAUGAUAUUUGUCAUGAGAUGUUGUAUGUUCUCUUACUUGGGAUAUGAGAAUUGUUUGGAAUGGUGAAACUAUAUGAUAUAGUUGAUGUUGAAUGACAUUGUUGAUUAUUGAUAAUCAUGUUGAUGUGUGAUGGUGAAUACUAUGAUUUAUUUGUGUGGGCAUGUUUUCUUGAUAAUGCAAUGUUGUGGAAAUAAUCAAUAUAAUUGGGUGUUGUCCUAUAUAUUGAGGUUGAGAUUGUGAAUUGUUGUCGCAUUAUCGAGUCCUUACACAUGUCCAUGCAUCAUAGUCGUUGUUGCUGUAAAAGGGAGGACUCUUUUACUUCGAGAUUAUUGUAAGGCAGAGGUGAGCCUUACAUGCGAUGUUGACUUGUCCAUCGGAGGUGACGACCUUGUUGAGAUUUGGUACCACAUGCAUUUAUGUGUCCAUAAGUGCAUAUCAUAGCAUGAGUCUUAUGUGAAAUAUGUGAUUGGUGAUGAAAUGAGAUGAAUGAAUGUUGAUAAUGAUUGUUCAAUGAUUGGUGUUGUGAAUGAAUAUUUAUGAUUGGGUAAUUAUUCAUGUGAUUGAUGUAUGUUGAUAUGAGAUAUCGAGUUGUGAUGUAAGUAUUUAUGUAUGACUAAUACUAUUCAAGUACAUGAUAUUAUUUGAUUUGAUUAUUAUUUGGUUAUGAUAAUGUAAUGCUUACCCCCAGUGGUUUUAACCGCCUACUUGCCUGUAUGGGUGAGUAGACGUUGUGCAGGAGUAGUGCUCGGUGAGUCUUUGCGUGGGAUAUCGGGAGCUUUCUCCGAUAUCGGGUCGUGUCGGCUCUGAUCUAGGCUUGUCGUGUCGGUCUAGAUUAGGUUGUUUAUAUUUCCUUUGGAUUAUUGUUUUGUUGGUGACUGCCCGUAUGUUUGGGUUUUGAGAUUUAUCUUAGGGAUAUAAGUUAUUUGUUCAUGGCAUGUAUAUAUUUAAUCACUCUGAUUUAUAUUCCGCUGCAGCUAUUGAGGUUUAUAUACAUGUCUGUCGGUUUUUGAAUUUUGAAUAAGAUGUAAUCUCUAUUUCUUGAAUAAAUGUAUUAUUCGCAUGUUUAAUUGCUUAAAUAGAGAUAGGAGUGUUACAGUUCACGCUUCAGAUGUGUAAUCCUGAGCGUGAGGGGGGUGUUAAGAGUCCCACAUCGGUUAGGAGUUGGCCUGACAAUUUGUUUAUAAGUGGGGGAAAUCCUCACCUCACAAGCCGGUUUUGUGGGGUUGUGUUAGGCCCAACCACAAUUUCUAAUACUUACUAAGAGUAAAGCCACUUUAUUUCAUCAACUAAAUGUAGAGAAAUAUUCAAAAACUUCUUCAUUAACCACUAAUGCUGUGUUUAGGCUAUUAACUAUUUCAGUCAAAAGCUCCAUUCAAAAUCCCCCCAUACCAAAAUAAAUAAAUAGAAGGGGAGAACAAGCUUAAGUUUUCUUAAUAUUUACAACAACAUCAAAUGUCAACUUUUCUAAGCUUAAAGUGGCUAAAAUUAACUAUAAGUCAGUCUACUUAUUGAACUUUAUGCAGUUGCAAACUCUGAGAACCUUCAUUUCAACAUUUUUAACCAUUAGAGAAGGGAGAAAAUAAAAUUAAAAAUUGGUAAGAUUUAUGUGUAAAAAUGUUUUCAUUUAUAAUUUAUAAAGCUUCCAUCAAUGAAGCGGGAAAAAAUAUCCUCCCUAUGAAGCACCGAAACAGACACGGAUACCGGACUCGACACUUACAUUGAUUUGUCAACACCAAUAGUAAUUUAAGAAAAUCAGAUGUGUCAGUAUUGGAUACGAACACCAAACAUGCUUAGCAUCAGAAGUGUUUGUGCAACAAAGCAUCCUCCACAGUAUCUUACAUAAUGUCUCAUCAUUUGAUAAACUAUUCAAGGUAGAAAUAAUUAAUUGAUUUAUAAAGAUAAUAAUGAUAAUGAUGUACCUGGACCAAGGAAUCUAUCUAGCCAUGGUGUUCCUAUUCUUGUUUCAUUAAGAACCAAGUUCUGCAUGACUGACACUAAAGCUAGAUGUUGUUGCUGCAAAAUUUCUGUCUCCGAAACUCCCACUUCCACUAACCUUCUUUGCUUUUUCAGCAGUGGGUGAAAUUGUAAUAACAAAGCAUUGAGAUAUUUUUCUAAUUUUAUCUUUCUAAUAUAAGGAUCAGUGAAUACCACAUCCUCCUCAUCCAUGUUGCUUUUCUUCUUCAACACGUGGAUUCCCAUUUGUGAACUCCUUAAUUUUUUAAUCACUUCCUCAGGUGGACUACAAAUACUCGUCAACUUAAGCUCCACAUGGAUCCAUUCAUUUUUCAAAAGUUCUUUGUCCAUUUCAGACACAAGAUUUGCACAUUUAAUCUGUUCUUUCAAUUUCAUAUCAAACAAAAAUGCAUGUGCCGAGUCGAAAACCGAUAGAAAGUGAGAACCACAGAAUAAAUAUGUAGGAAAACCACAUCGAUAUCCAUUGACAAACAAAUUGAUAUCUGGAACUAUAGUAGUAUAUCCCAAAAAAAGAAAAAUGGAAGUAACAGAAGGGAUCUUUUUACGAAACCAGAAAGAAAUUGUAUCUCCCCCUGAUUUGGUGCUCGUACCAAUCUGGAAUCCCCUCUUUUACGUUUGAGAAACGAAUAUCGGUGCAUCCAGCAUCAUUUAGGUUCUGUUUGUUUAGAAUAAGAUAUAUUACAUUGUCCAAUAUGAAAUAUUAUAUAUCAAUAUCAAAUAAUAUAUACUGCAACACAAAACAACAACAAACCUGACUAAAUAACAUUCUUCUAGUUGAGAAACUCAGUGAUACGCAUCGCAUUGCAUCCAAGUAAUUUAGAUUUGGUGGAAUCAAGGGGAUUAUAUGGUUUGUGCUGAGAAGUAUCCGUUUUGCAUAAAAUUUAUAAAAAAUAUUAUCAUCACACAUUACUAACUCACAGCAUAAAUAAAAUACUAAGCAAAACAUAAUUGUUUGGAGUGGAUGGAGGAGGAGGUGGAGAUAUAUUUUCUUGAGUAAAUAAAUUACUAAGAAAUCAAAGGUUCAAUGAAACUAAUUUACGAUUUAUGCAACAUCACAUUAAUCACCAAUUUAAAAUAUCAAAGAGUACAGCAAUAAAAUUUUAAUCAAACAUAUCUAAUGCGAGAGUAAAAGGGAUCAGCGUGAGAAUUGAAGUAGUAAUUCCUUGACAGUUUUACCAUCAGAAUAAGCCCAAGCUUCUUCUCCAUCAGAUUAAUUAGUUUUUAAUGUUUUUAAAAAAAAAAUGUUGAGUCCAUUAUAUUCAUGUGUUUGAGUCUCCAUGUCACCGACGGCAGUAAAUAAAUAUUAACAUAAACUAAUGGAUGAAAAUGACUAACCUGACACAACUUGAUGAAAUUAAAAGACCAUUUUUGCGGUAGGGGAUCAAUAAUAUGAACCCCAAAAUUAAGAUAAAUGAUCAAAAAGGUAUUUACGCCUAAUUAAUAGGUACAUUCAAACUACUCACUAACAAAGUCCAUUUGAUGUGAAUGUGGCACUGCACCCUAUUUGAUUUUUUUGGUUAUACUGAAUAAUUUAGCUUAUUACUGGUCAUUUUUGUCUUUGAAAAUGGAUCUGCAAGUAUAUCAGAAAACAAAUAACUACUUCAUUUCAUAUUUUUCAGUUUAAGAUGAUCAGAUUAGUCUUUUGAUUUGAGGUCAAAAUUCUUUUAAUUGACUUCAAAAACACACUUUAAAAUAAAAACAUCCUAGUCUUUGAGUUAACCAACCAAAUAUGAAAUCUUGUUAUCAUACUGAUGAAUUCUGGAUAUCACAUGUUUCUGCAUGACUAAAUUUUCAAUAAUAGCUUUUCUCUUAAGUUUUGUUUGGCAUAUACUAGUGGUGAAAUAUCCUUUUCACUUGCCGUUACUAUAUCAACAAAAAACUUAUUGCAAGGAAUUCUUUUUCAUAUUUAUCAAACCAUCAAGUGUCCAGCAUAUAUAUAACAUCUCACUGUUAAAAAAUUCAUUAUAAUUUACUUAUAUACAUAUCCAAAACUCAGCUCAGGCACGAGUUUCUUCUUUAUGUUAUAGCAUUUAAUCCUUUCUUCCAAUCUCAGAUGUCAUAUCAAAAAGAUAUGUUUGAUUCGAUGGAAUCUAGACUACUUUUACAUAGCCAUUGACAGACAAAUUGACUACUUUUUCAGUUAUACAAGGGAUUUCUUUACAACACCACAAAGAGUGUGUCUUAUGAUUUGGUGCUCGAACCAAUCUGGAAUCCCCUCUUAAUGCUUGUAUUGAUAUCAACAACUAAAUACUUAUUUAAUAUUGUUUCAACAUCAUUAAUAUAUUCAGAAAAUCAACAAUCAUUGAACAACAAAAGUUAAGUUAGCAACAUCGAAGUUUCUGAUAUUUGCUUUUUCAGUACACAUGCUUCUGAACAUACAAUAAUGAAAGAAUCAAAUUCAAACAAUAUCUGUAGCACAAACAUCCUCCUUAAAAACUUACAUCAUGUCUCACCAUAUAAAAACCAGAGUGCAUUGAGUAUUAUACCAAUAACAUUGAUUAGGAUUUUGGAGAACAAAAGCACGACUCUUGCAAAAGGAUCUCAUAAAUGUCGGUUAUCAGAUUUAACUCUUUACCACACAUAACUUCUUGCAUAUCCAAAAGCUCUUUUCCAGUAAGGACAGAGUUUAGUUUGAGAAACCCAUCACUUCAUAGUCAUUUCAACCUGGUAUGCAUAUUUACAUGACAUAAAUAUAGAAACUAAACAGAAGACACAUUUCAUUAUAAAAACAUUAGUAUAGAACAUCUCUUCCCAUUCAAUUAUAUAUGUUCAAUUUCUAGUUCUACCAAAUAUCUGUCAGAACACAAAAUAGCAAUUGUUUUGCCAAAGUUUUGAGGAGACAGAACAUUUUGCGAACUUUAGAGAAAAUAAUCUAAACACAUGUCCUCACCAGGGGAAGGUAUGGAUAGAACGAAUGAAAUUACGUAGAGCUGCAGAAGGAUCAUGUGAAAUGUUCAAUUCACACCCAAUGUGGCAACACAAAAUUCCAACUGAUCUGCAAAGCGUAUGAUUACCCAAUUCCCUUUCAAGCAACACCUCUAGACAUCUCGUAUGACAAUGCACAAAGAAAGGCAACUACAAAUUGUUUCCUGACAAAUGUAAAAAUAUAGGGUUAAUAGUGUUUUUCACCCCUGUAAUAUAUGUCAUUUCCGGUUUUCGCCCCUAUAAAAUUUUCGGUUUGAUUUGCAUCCUCGUAAAAAUUUUAUUUUCCGGAAAACACCCUUAAUAGGCCAUUCAAAAACCAAAAAUUCUUGAAAGAAAAUUCUGAAAAUGGCCUAUUAGGGGUGUUUUCCCGGAAAAUAAAAUUUUUAUGAGGGUGCAAAUCAAACCGAAAAUUUUAUAGGGGCGAAAACCGGAAAUGCCAUAUAUUACAGGGGUGAAAAACACUAUUAACCCAAAAAUAUAUUACUUUGGUAUAAUUAUCAAUUUCUUUUUCAGAUUAUGAUUAAAAGCAUUUAUUCUUUCAAAGUAUAAGGAUCUUACUUGUAACAACAUUCAUCUAGGAUUCGAAGCAAUUUAUUAGAUAUUGUGAGAAAGUGGCCAACCUCCACCACACCUUUUAAAAGUUCUGGACUGAAGGGAUAUAUCUGCAUUUAAAUAGAUGUUAUAAGUAACACAAUACACAGUUACACUUCAACAGAGCUUUGAGCUCAUUGUAAACUUCGAGUGUGCUUAUAAGCUACUGGAAUUUUGAUCAAUUAUGUAUCAUGUUUCAAUUGCAAUAACGCUAAAUUUCAUCAUAAAAAUAAAAAAUGCAUGCAUAUACUACAUAAAUUAUCCAUACGUUUAUUGGUCAGACUUAAAGCAUAUGCCAUUAGUUAGGAGAGAUUAAAGUUCCGAUUUGAAACAUAAUUAAAGAGAUCGAUAUGUUAGUAAUAGGAGUCCUGAUGGCAGAAGUUAUAUUAAAUUAUUAACUGCUACAUCUGCAAUAACUGCUAUCUUUAGUACUUCUAUGUAACUGCUAUAAGGAGUUAGUAUUAUAAAUAUGGAUGCNNAGGGAAAAGAAGGGCAUUGGGUUAUUUGGAUAAAGGAUUGAUAGGAAUAUAUCAAGCUCGCGAGUUCUUGACGGGGAUAGAACGAACAUUCUCGAAUUUCUUGGGAUUCUAUUGUAAUGAUUAUAUUAAUUAAUAUUUUGAUAACAGUGUAUAUCACAAUACAAGUUUAUGAAAUGUUUAUAGUUACUAAUCAUCAACUAAAUGUAGAGCAAUAUUCAAAAAGUCUGAAUCUUUAUAAUAACUCAUGAAGACUUCAACACCUAAUGUCAACUUUAUAACCUUAAAGUGGCUUAAAUUUACCUUAAGACGGUCUACUUGUUGAUCUUUAAGCAGUCGCAAACUCGGAGAACUUUCAUGUCGACAUUGUAACCAUCAGAACAUGGAGAGAAAAAAUACUUGGUAAGCAGGAAAAAAAUCCUCCAUUGAUGUAGGAGAACAAACACGAACACCGAACUCGACACUAACACUGAUUCGUCAACAUUGAUAGUAAUUUAAGAAAAUAAUAUAUUUCAAUGUAAUCACAUGUGUCGGCAUGAGACACGUGUCAGACACAUAAUCUUACAUCAUGUCUCAUGAUUUAAGCAACUUCUCCAUCUAUAAACAAUGAAUUUGUAAUUGACUAUAUACAGAAAUUAAUCAAUAUUUAUAAUAAUGAUAAUGAUUUCAACUGUAAACAGUAAAGCACAAACCUGCAAAGUUGAGAUUGAGAGGAUAACAACAAGACGGUUAACUUUAUGGCGCACCUGGAUCAAGGAAUGUACCCCACAUAUUUCUUUCAUCUUGUCCACUGUUUAAUAUUUCUUUCUCCUCUUCUUUCAUUAUAUCUUCUCUCUAUAAUAUAAGGAUCGGUGAAUAUCACAUCCCCCUCCCAUGACACGUGGAUUCCCAUUUGUGCACUAACAUGAUCAUCCUUCUCCGUGAUCCAAUUAAGCUCUACAUGGUUCCAUUCAUUAUUUUUAAAUGCUUCGUACAGUUCAGGCUUAUUUCCAAAACUCUCGUCAAUAUGGUCAUCCAAAUUCAUAUCAAACAAAAAUGCAUGUUCCGACGGCAGAACUGUCCCCUUAUAAUCGAAAAGAUAGCCAGAACCAAUAAGUUCAUUGCCAUUGACAAACAAAUUGAAUUUUUUAAUCGCCGCAAAUUCCGGAAUAAGAAUAAUACAAGUUAUAGAAGGGAUCUUUUUACAUAACCAGAAAGAAAUUGAGUUGUGUCCCCUGACUUGAUGCUCGAACCAAUCUGGAAUCCCCUCUGUUCCGGUUGGCAAAACAAUAUUGUUGCAACCAGCAUCGUGCAGUCGCUGUUAGAUUAGCAUAAGAUACAGUAUUUCAGUGUGGAUAAUAUAUGAAAUACUAAAUAUCAAAUACCAGUGCAAGAUAAAAUAAAAACAAACCUGACUCAAUAACAUUCUUCUACUUGAGGAACUCAAUGAUUUACAUCCUUCUGCAUAAAGAUUUGUUAGAUUGGGUGGAAUCCCUCUAAUUUCCUCAAGAGACUCACAGUAAUCCAAAUAAAGAUGCUCAAGAUAGUGACAUUCACUAAGGCACUUGGGAAGAAUUUUGAAAUUUUUGUCCAUUAUUACUAACUUUUGAAGUUCAUUGAGAUUUUUAAAUGAAAAUGGCAUUUCUUCUAUGGAAGUAUCACAUAACCAAAUCUCUUUUAUAUUUGACAUCUUGCAUAAUAAUUCUGGAAAACUCUUGAGACUCCUACAAAAAUGGAGUUCCAAUUUCUUAAGAGACGGCAGACAUAAGGGUGGAAAACUCUUGAGCUUCCUGCACAUGGUCGCAUCUAAGAUUUCAAGUUUAUAAAGGUACCCAACUGAAUUGUGAAUUGUAGUUAAAUUUUUACAAUUUUGAAAUGAGAGCCUUAUUAAUUCUGGAAGACCUGAAACAUCAGGUAUAUGAGUUAAAUAGUCACUACAGUCAAAGGUCAAGAUUCUCAGGUUCAUGAGCUUCUUCUGCAUAAACACCAUAAAGAAACAAACAAAUAAAAAUCAGACACUAUAUAUUGAAUUUAUAAAUAUACACAAUUGGAAAAUACAAUUAUUUUACUUGCCUUGAAUGAAAAACAAAAUGAUAGAGGCUCCGAAGUAAAUCCUUUCCAUUUCAAUACUAUCAAACUUUUUGGAAGAUACUUGAGACCUUUAGAAAAAUAGCCCUUUUCAAUGAUAAGUGUUUUGAGUUUUUUCAUCUUCUUAAAGGCCUUUUCAUUGAUGUUGAUGGGUUCCAUUGAGGAACAAUUCAGAUAUAUCAUUUCAAUUUUACUAGUUCCCUUUUAACAAAAAAUAAAACAAAAAUUAAUCAACCAUAAUACAAAUAACAUAUAGAGCUUGAACAUGUACAUGUAAUUAAGUGUAAAAAGAUUUAGUAUGAGAUGGUCAUAUAUAAGUCCAAAAAGAGGAAAGUCAUGGUAAGCUAAAAUAACAAAUUGUUCAUAGAUAUCAAUCUUACUGUGUUUUGUUUUAAAACAUGAGCUAUAUCAUCAUGACGCCACAACCUAGUGCGCUCUCCAGGCUCUUUAAUUGAUUCUUGUCGGACUAUUUCUAUACCCAUAUACUCUAUCAAGUCAUGUAAUGUAACAAUAUAAGAAGUGUAGUAUGGAUCUGGAGCACUAAUCUUUAUGAGAGAUUCAUCAACCAACACUCUAACAUGAUGUGUCAUUGAAUGGCCAUAAUGAAAUUGAAGUGUCUCUGAAACUUCUGCCAAUCACAUCCUUUGAAGCAACAAGCAAUAUCCAAAAAGACACUCUGUUGUUCUUCUUCCAAAGUAUCAAAGCUUACUUUAAGUAUCUUUUGGAUAUCUUCAGGUGGAAUUCUUUCAUACUUAUCUAAGGUUGACUCACAAUCUGCUAUACUCUUUCCAAACAAGUUGGAACCCACUACUUUUAAAGCUAAUGGAAGGCCAGAAGCAUAUUCAACUGCACGGUUUAAAAUAUAAUCAUAGCUGGAAUCAUUUUUAAAAGUCAUCUUUCUUAACAAUUCAAGAGAUUCUUCCUUAUUUAAACUGUCUGCUUCGUAUAUUUUUGUUAUCCCAUGGCAUGAUAACAAAUAUCUGUCUCGAGUGGUAAUGAUGACUCUGCUUCCUUGACCGAACCAACCAGGCUCUCCGACCAAUUUCUCCAACUGAUUUGGUUUGUCAACGUCAUCAAGAAUCAACAAAACUUUCUUCCGACAUAGCCUUUGUUUUAUGAUUUCAAUUCCUUCAUUAUCAUGUUCUAGCGGGGUGUCAUAUCCGAUUGAUUUGGAGAGGAGCUGCUCUUGGAGAUACUUUAAGCUAUGUUUAAAUGAAUUUUCUCUAACAUUGUAAAGGAAACACCUACAUUCAAAUUGAUUAACAAUUGAAUUAUAAACUGCUUCAGCAAGUGUUGUCUUACCCAGACCUCCAGUUCCAAGGAUUCCUAUUAUGUAGACUCCAUCGGUACAUCCCAAGUCUAGAAGUGAAUUCACUUCUGAUAUUCGAGAUUCGAGUCCAACAAGGUACUCAGCAACAUGUAAAUGACAACGGUUGAUCUUGUUGGAGACGUCUGUAACUAUUUCUUCAAUAAAUUUGUAUUCAUAUUUAUUUCUGUCCAAUCAUACAUAUUUAAAUAGAUGUAUUAGAAUAACAAUCACACAUAUGUAUUAAUAUAUAACAGUAAUUAUAAUAUUGCAAUUCAAAUUGUUUGAACAUAGAAUGACCAAAUUUUCUCUAUAUGUAAGAAAAAUGGAAAACAAGAUUGAAAUGAAGAGCGGUACCCAUGAAUGAAAUUGGUGAAGAGCUUCCUUCCAUUUCAGCAACCGCUCCAUGUUUUCCAUGUCAUUUUGAAACUCCACUUCAUGCUUAGCAAGUGCUUCACCAUAACUGUCUUCCAGUUUUCGCACAUGAGAAGGUUCGGUGCCAUAGAAAACAGGAAUAACCUUGGUAACCUUUUCUCUGAAGCAAUGAAUGAUGUGGACAAGUUCAUCUAAACAAAAUGAAGAAGUAGCAUAGUUCUUAGAGAAUAUAAUAAUGGCAAUCCUCGAUUCUUCAAUGCUCUUCCGGAGUGAAGGUGUGAUUUCGUCACCAGUUGGAAGCUCCUUGUCAUCAAUGAAGGUGUGGAUUCCUUUGUCAGAAAGAGCCUUAUAGAGGUUACCGGUGAAACCAAAUCGAGUGUCGGUACCCCUGAAACUAAUGAACACAUCGAAGUUGAAAUCAUAAGAGAGGGAGGAGGAGGAAGUAGGUAAUUGCAUAGCCAUGAGAAAAAAUGGCAUUGAGAGUCAAUUUAAAACAUUAGUCUUGAAACUUCCAUCUCAUCUUCUGAAUUUUUGGUUGGGUAAGGAGUUAUUAGUAGGACUGGCCCUCUUGCUUUGAUUUGGCUCUGCAGAGUCAGAAACUUCCUUUGAAUUUUCUAUAACCCUUCCAUGUGACUUCUUGGUAAUAUCUUGACUGAUAUUACUUACUUUUCAUUUUUGGACAAACACCAUUAAAAGAACCAAAUAUUAUAUAAUGUAACUACCAUUAGAACCAAACUUUUUUUUUUUUUGAGAAAGAAGAAUACUGAGAGUAGCAUCAUAUACAUUCUCUAAAUAGGAAAUAUCUUCCAAAUAACAGUCAAAUCCAAAAAUAAACGAUUAAAUGGAACAAUCCAUACAAAUUAAGAAAACUGUGUAAACUGAAGAGAGGGAAAAGUAGUACUCCCUAUGUUUUUAUAUAUAAGAAAUUUUAGCUUUUAUUAAAAAAAAUUGAUAGUGUAGUUGAUGUUUAUCAAUUUACCAAAAAAACCCUUUGGUUGUGUAUGUAGAAAAUUUUGCUUUUUCAUAUAACAAAGUUGGGCUGGGCUUUGUUUGAGAGUUUGGAUGGGAGAGGAAGAGAGGGCUUUGAGGGAAGAAAUUUUAAGGGAAAAUACAAAAAUCUUUCACAAUUUUUUAGAGUUUUUUUACAAAAUGAGUAUUUUUAUUAGAGAAUAAUAAAUUAAUGUUUAUGAUUGAUAUCUUUUAAAUUUUAAGAAUAUUAUAUUAUAGCAACAUUUUCUUUCAUAUGGCGUAAUUUGAUCCAUGUAGUCAACUAUGUUUAAUGCGAUAAGGAUUCAUUGUUGUUGUAUAGCAACAUAAAUUAAAUUUAAAAAUUUUUAUAAACCCUUCAAAACUCCUCCUCCAAAUCGGAGAGUUUGAUCUAUCAUUUAUAAAACACUAAGUAUAACAAAAUAAAAUAAAACCACACAACACGCAGGUCUAAAUCUAGUUUUGUGCAAUUUCCACAUAUUUUCAAAAUACACAAAAACUAUAUGAUAUUUAUAAUUGAUAUCAAUUUUUUAUGCACAACUAUUAUUUCUCUUUUUAUAGUAACUAUUUUAUAUCUUCAUUGUUAAUUUUAUGGUUAUAAAUGUUGGAAAAAGAAAGGUUGAGUUGAUGGCAUCAGAAUGAAUCGAGAGACUAUGUGAUAUUUAGAACUUCAGGCCUCAAUAAUCAAACAGCUUAAUCACUAAUGCAUAAAAAAGUUAUGAUAUAAUGUGAUUGGACCUCAAAAAUCAUACAGCUUAAAAACUGUAAAAAAAAGGUCGAAAAAGUUGUGAUAUUUAAUGCCACCGUAAACUAUUUAGGAUGUAUUAGUAACAUUUUUGUAUUAUUAUAUUUGUACAUAAAACAGAAAUAGUAAAAACCAAGCCAGGUGAUAAAAUAUGGAGUAGUGUAAUUUGCAAAAAGCAACAAAUAUUUGACAUACUUUUACAAACUUUUUGAAGUAGCCCAUAUGUAGAAUGUUUUAACCUUUAAUUAGCCCAUCUAGUUGAAUGCUAAAACCAAAGCAUCAUUUUUAACAUACUUUUACACACAUUUUUCUGUGCAUUAGGGUGUAUUAGUAACAUUUUUGUAUAAUAUUUGAACAUAAAACAUUUAGUAAAAACUAAACAAGGAUAUAAAUAUGGAGUAAUAAAGUUUGCAAAAUGAGUCCCCGUGAGCUUUGCUCAGUUGGUAGGGACAAAUGCAUUUUAUAUGCAGGGGCCGGGGUUCGAACCCCGGACACCCCACUUCUCCACAUUUAACUUUUUAUUUUGAAGGAACUAGAGUAACUUGAUGUCUAUAUUUGGAGUUUGACUCACCUCAUGUAAAUUUUUCAAUUAGUUUUAUGUGCACAACUCCUAACACAACCGACAAAAAUGCAUAAAUUAUGAGACCGGUCGUCGUAAUCGAGAUUUGAAUCCAAAUUCCUUUACUCGUUUGUGUAUGUUUUCAAGUGAUUUAUCAUUUUGUCUAUCUACCAAGAAAAUAUACACAUUUACUCAUGUCUUUAUAUUGGCAUAUCUAUUAACCCAAAGCAUCUAAAUGGGGGGACAUGGUUCUUUGCUCCCUAUUUUACCAUAUAACCAUUUCAUGGCACCCACCCACCACUCUGCCCCUAUCAGAUGUGCACAGGGCGCUAAUUGUACCACAACUAGGCGUGCCACAAGUUUUGGCAUCUUUUCCCUGCACACUCUAUUGCUCUACCUAGGUACUUUGGAGUUCUGUGCUGCAUGUAAAGAAAAAAAACAUGAACAUAACCUUUGUAUAAAAUAAUAGUACAAUAAUUUAGUUAUACUUUAGUUAUUUACAGUGUGCAUGCAUUUAAAUUAGAAACAUCCUUCUCAUUUUCCUUUAGCCGUGUGGACCAUUCACACAAUUAUUGUUCAACUUUUUCUUUACUGAAAAACACUGCAGAACCAUUAUUUAUAUUGUCCUCGUGCUACGUUAUUAAUUACACUUCUUAACCUUUUUCCAUUUUACUUCUACGAUCUUUCUUUGUUACUUCAUGGGACUAAAAUAAUAGUAUAAUUUUUUUUUUUAAGUCAAGAAGCAAGGAAGACGACAGACGUCAAGGGAAAUCAACGACAUCCCAAUUAGAUUGAUACCCUAAAGAACCGUAUAUAAAAUGAAAAUAAAAGUUGUUAUGUGGACUCAAACAGACAGGAAUGUUGUUGUUCUAAAGAUUUUGUCAUUUUCCUUGAUUCUAAAAAAAUGCACACAAUUGUUCACUUUUACGGUCUAUUAUCUCCUAAAAAAUAUAUUUCCACUGCUUAUAAGUUAACUGUUUCGUAAGUUAACUAAUUUAACUUGUUCCCCAAAAAUAUACGCAUUUGUUCAGGUCUUUAUUUUGGUAUCUAUCACAUACACUUCACUGCACCCUGAAGUCGUGACACCACUCUGCUCCCAAUCGAACUACUAUUGAUAUCAAUUAAACAUUCGUAUGUAAACAUAUGAACAUUCAAUAAACAUGCUUAUAAAACUUGUAUGCUAAUAAAAACAUGGAAUUCCAACAAUAUUUUACACUGGACAAACAUCCUCCAACUCUAGCAGUAGCACCAUGACUAUUUCAAAAAUGCUCAAACAGCCUUCGCUUACUCAGCUCUCUAAGCAGCAAAGGUGGACCAAAUAAACUAAACUUAAUUAAAGCAGUGGCAACUUCUUUAUAACAAGCCUGCCACUCAAAUCUGCCAACACUAUUGCUGAAGAAUUGCAGGAUCAGGUGAAGAUGAAGUUAUCCGGGAAGCAGCUUAUGGAAAUAAGCUAAAAGGAAGCAUAAGCUGAAAUAAGUGGAUGGAUACAAACAAACCAUAAAUAGUUAAUUUAAAAUAAAGCAUUUAAUUUCAAUCUUUCUUUGUUACUUCAUGAGAGUAAAAUAACAGUAUAUGAAAUAAAAAUAAAUGUAGUUGUUCUGUGGGACUCCAAAAUCAGACAAGAAUAGGAAAUUUAAGAAGCAGAAUAAUAGUAAUAAUAGAAAUGUUAGUAUCCUACUAUCUUCAUCAUUUAUGUUAUUUAAAGGACAAAGUUUAUAUUUUAUAUUGAACAAUUGUAAAAUGAUCAUUAUUGUCACAAUUAUUAAUAUUAAUUCUCCAGUUAAUUUUUAAUAAAAAAAUAUACAUCAAAAUAUAGAGUGACAUUAUAUAUUAGCUUCAUCCUUUAUUAAUUUUUUAUUUUGUAUAAUUACCACACAUUUUAAAAAUACACAAAAACUAAAUGAUAUAUAUACCAUAUCUGGUAUCAUUCCUAUUAUAACCUUAUAUCAAUGCAACAUUAACAGUAAUACAAUUUGGGAUGGAGGGAGUAUCACAUAAUUGGACAAUGAUUCACAAAUGUGUGGUAGAUGUGAUUCGAACCUGAGACAUAGAGAUGUAACAAACUUGCCUUAGCCUCUUCGGUGUAGCACUUUUUCUGUUUAAUUUUCGCAUUUACUAAUAUAUAUAUAUAUAUAUAUAUAUAUAUAUAUAUAUAUAUAUAUAUAUAUAUAUAUAUAUAUAUAUAUAUAUAUAUAUAUAUAUAUAUCGUAUUAUAAAUCAAAUAUGUACACUAAAAAAUUUCUUUUACAAUUUUGUCACACCAAACCAUCAUGUCUAGAUCUGUCCCUGGUAGGACCUGUGCUUUUAUUUGGCUCUACACUUUUACCAUGUAAGAAACUUCCUUCCUAUUUCCUAUCUUCUCUAAAAUAACCAUCACUUUUUUGCCUCCUCUUUCCAUGUAAUUUCUCUAAAGCAAUGUGAGUGUCUUAAAAAAGAAGGAAAAAAAGAUACAGUUUGAGGGAAGGCAUGAAUGGAGAGAAAAUGGGAUUGAACCUUAAAAAUCAUAUAUAGUUUAAAAACACGGAUAGAUCGGUCUCGUUUCCGGAGGGAGACCUGAAUAUAUCACCUACUUUAAAAGACAUAAUACUUUUUUUAUGAAUUUCUCAUUUAAUUAUUAGUAGCUUUUAUUUGGAUCUGCACUUUUACCAACCACUUUUUCAAGUUUAUGUGGGGGACCUAAAAAAUGAACUGACAUUUUUAAGUGGGGGUCCUUAAAAAUGAUUGAUGUAAUAUUUUUGCAUCAAACAAUAGUAAAUAUUUAUAUCGUCUCCUCAGAGACUAGUGCGAUAUCAUGGAUCGUUCGACACCAAAUAUCAUUCUAAGUUAAACGAUAAUUUGUUGUUUGUUUUAAUAACUAAGUUGCAAAUGAUAAAGUUGAGAUUAAUAAAGUGUGAAACUUGUUAGGAUUAGAGUUCCUUGAUCAAGUGUCACACGUAACCUAAUAAUCAUACAUGAAUUCUAGCUUUUCUUUGAUAUUAUCACGUAUCCCUCGACAACAUCAUUCGUGUCCAAACAAUAUUGUGAAAUCAAUUGUAUCAUUCAAUCGUCGAUGUCUCAAACUAUUGAAUGAUUCAAGAGUCGGUCUUAUCAUUUAAUCGAUGAUUUCUCAAUCAAUUGAAUGAUAAGAAAGCUUUAAGUUUGGAUACAAAAGGUGAUUAUCAAAACAUCAAUUCCAUGUCUAGAACCCAUGUUUUGAUAGAUGAUUAUUCUAAACUUAGAUUCAAAAGUAUUUAUCAAUCACAAUUAAAUCAAACAUAAGUAUUAAAGUGCAAGAAUAACAUCAAUAUCAAAUUAAAUGCUAGAACCAUAUAUUUAUAGAUCAAAAGAUUACAUGUUAAGCUAAGAUCAAGUACCUCUAAUCCGAACAAAGGAGAUUUAGCUACUCAUUACACACUUGUGAUCUCUCAACAAAAUGAUGUAGAAUCCACUUUCUAUCACUCUCACUCUAUCAAGAACAAUCCCUAUCUCUCUCUCUCUAUGAAUAUUACAAAAUGAAAACUAUGAAAAAUUAAGGAUCCUUAAUGAAAUGAUUGAAUGAGCUAUUUAUAGAAUUCUAAUUCUGCAUCAAAUCGUCUCGCGAGCUCCUUCAUUCGCCAGGGCGAGUGAAGUUCCUUCACCAUUGGGUUUGUGCCACGUCAGCCGUGAGAAGCCUAAGCCGCCCUAACUCGCCUCGCGAGUACAUUCCCUCGCCAUGGUGAGGAGAGUGAAACACUGAUGCUCUCCAAAAUUGCUCGCCUUUGAAACUCGCCUUGAUCUCGCCAUGGCGAACGUACUCGCCUUCUACUCGCCAUUGUGAGUUGGUGGUGUGUAAUCUUUGUUGCUUACUGGAAUUGCUCGCCUGUGCUGCUCGCCAUGGCGAGUUGGAGGCGAGUGACUUCAUUUCCUGCCUCUUUGUACUUUUCUCCAUUUUUUUCUCUUUGCUUGAUGUCUUGAGUUCCAAUCCUGCACAAAUGGGUGAAGUAAGAUAGAUAAAGCGUAAAAGGGCAAUAAUCACUUAUCUCUCGGCUUUUUCCUCAAUAACUUGCAAAACAAGUAAUAAAAGUGCUUUGAAUAUUAAUUUAAAAUACAACUUUCUAGCACUUAUCAAUGAUUGAGAGCUUAAGUGAUAUUUUGUUUGGAUCUCAAAAGUCUUUCUGAUAUUUAAUCACAUCUACCAAACUCACAUUUCUAGCUGUUAUUUUAAGUCAAAAUUGGAAAUCAAUACAUGUUGUAGUCUGUACAGUAACUUGAUCUCUAUAUUUGGAGUGCUAGGUGACAGUCUGGCGCUGACAUGGCACUUGCUGACUGUGUACUCUUUACCACGUGGCGCUGACGUGGCAAUCAAUUAAUUUUGAGAUUAAAGAAACAAUUUUAAAAACUUGGAAAUUAAUUUUUGAAAUAAAAACAUUGAAAAAAGGGAAAAAAAGAUUAAAAAUAAAUAAAAUGAAAAAAAUUCCAAAAUAAUUGUUUUUUAUUUUUUUCUAAAAAAAUUAAAAAAUAUGGAAAUUAAUUAGAGAAUAUUUUUCAAAAUGAAAAAAAAACAAAUUCUAAAUUAAAAGAAACAUAUUUUCAGAUUUGUUUUGAAUUUAAAAAGUUUUUUUUUUCUGGAAAAAUUAAAAAUUCUAGAAAUUAAUUUUCAUAAAUAAAAAAAAACUAAAAUUUAGAUAAUAUUUUUGAAAAAAAAAUUCUGAAAAUUUAUCUUCAGAUUAUUCAUUUGAAAUAUUUUUUUUAAUGUUUUAAAAAAAUUUAAAUUUUCUUUAAAAAAUAAAAAUCUGAAAAUUAGAUAAUGAUUUUUUUUUUUUAAAAAUUUCAAUAAAUUUUAUAAUCUGACAAAUUUUCAAAAAUUUAAAUAUAAAUUUCUAAUUUUUUUUAUUUUUAUAAAUUAAUUUCCAUUUUUUAAUUAAUCGAAAUGACAUGUCAUUGCCAAGUUGCAACUGCCACAUAUGACCUUAGAUGGGCCCAGGGAAUUUUCUUAAAAACAAAAUCUUUUGCAAGGACGCAUUUUAUUUUUUAUUUUUUACGAAGACCUAAAGCCAAAUGUGUAACUUGAAAAUCCAGGGACUUAAAAACAUUGAGAGUUUAAGUGAUAUUUUGUAUGGACCUCAAAAGUCUUUUUAAUAUUUAAUCCCAUCUACUAAAAUCACAUUUCCAGUCGUUAUUUUUAGUCCAAACUGGAAUCUAAUCACUUUUGUAGUCUAUAUACAGUAACUUGAUAUCUAUAUUUGGAGUUUGAUUUAUCUCUUGUAGAUUCUUCAUUAAGUUUUAACCAUAAAUAAUUAGUGUUAGGACCCAAUUAAAAAUGGAUAAAACUAAACAAUACAAAAAAUAUAAACUAUUAAAGAUUCCAGUUUAAUAGUUGAACAAAAAUCCAAGUUGAUAGCUAUGGCUUCUCCUUGAUCGAUAUUCAUUACUCGACAAAAUGGUUGUGCAUCAUGCUAUUAGAUAGUACACGCAAAGAGGAUAUUACUUGUAUCUCAAGCAACUAAGAUUAGAGUCUCACCUUAGUUUACUGUGUUCCUACACUUGUAUAUAAAUAAAUACUCAUUGUAUCUUCAUUCACAAGUAAUAACGAUACCACAUUUUACAUUCAUUCUUCUUCUCUUAAUAUGGUAUCAAAACUAAGCAUUAACCUCACUCUAAACCUCGUCUCGUCUGUGCUUAACCAUAUAUUAAAGGUAAUUAAUCAUAUAUUUUAACUUCAUUAACCACCCAAAUUGUUGUCAAAUAUUUUGUUACGUUUUUGUAUCAAAUUAAUGUAGCUCAAAUACAAAUAUGUAUAAGCCAGAAGCCACCAUGGAAGACAGGCCCUAGCAAUUAACAUGCAUAUCUGUUAAAUAUGAAAUCUAAUACUAAUUAAGAACCAGCAGUGGCACAUUCGACUUAACUCGGAACAGAACAAAUCCUAGGUUGUAUCUGUACAUGGUUAAUUAAUGAGUUUCUUUUAUUCCCAACUCUUCUCAUAUAAUUAAGAAUUUGAUAUAAAAGUUUACCACUCUGCAAUGCACUUGAGUUUCAUUUUUAACAUACACGUUUGGGACAAUCUUAGAAAAUCCUUCAUUCUUCUCUAUGAAAGUGGCUAAAAUUUACAAUAUGACAGUCUAUUAAUUGAACUACAGCACUUGCAAACUAUGAUUAAAAAUUCAGUGGUUUCAAAAUUCGACAUUAUGAACCAUAUGAAAAACCAUCCUCCCUAUCAAGCAUGACACCGGACUCGACACUUACAUGUAAUUGCAUGUGUCGAACACAAACACUUGUUGGGCACCAGACAUGCUUCUAUGAGAAUUGUUUGUGCUACAAAACAUCCUGCAUAUUAAAUUCAAACAAUAUUUUAGACCGCACAAAUGCAACAAUUAAUCAAUUUUUAUAAUAAGGAUCUUGCUAACCGGUGCCCUAAGGGCAAUGAUUAAAGAUUCCAUUACUAGAAAUGUUGUCUUGGAAAUACAAGUCUUUAUUUUUUGCUUAGCAAUAAUUAACCACUCUUCGAUAUAAACUUACUUAUUUUACUAAUUUAACCAAUGCUUUAAGGGCAAUGGUUAGCAUCACGGGCGUAGCCCUUCAUAUGGGAGGGGUAGCCUUGGCUACCCCAAAAAAAAUAUUAUUCUUGAAGUGUUCCGUGUGUAUUUAUAUCCAGGUACCCGAAAUAAAUUUAGUUGCAAAAAUUAGCAUAAAUAAUAAAGUAAAAAAAUUACUACAAAAUUGAUAUAUUUAUUUGUAUUGGUUUGAUACUUUCGGUCUCAAUAACAAUAAUAGAGAAACCUUUUUCAACAAUCUAUCUCAAUUUAAUUAUGUAAAGUUUAAACAGAAAACCACAAACCUGUGAUUAAUUGAGAGAAUCUUGGUGCUCUUUUUGUUUUCUGAAUCUAGCCCUGAAUUUAGGAUGCACCCAAAUCUUUUUCUGAAGAUUUAUACGGAUUGAAAAUUUAUUUCGUUUCCGUUUCUUUUGUGACAAUGAAGCAUUGAGAUAUUCAUUUGAUUUUGUCUUUCUAAUAUAAGGAUCGAUAAAUACCACAUUCUCCUCCUCCGUGUUGCUUUUCUCUUUCCACACGUGGAUUCCCAUUUGUGCAUUUCUGAAUAUUAUAUUGUCACGAUCCUUCACCUUAAACUCCACAUGGAUCCAUUCAUUUUUCAAAAGUCCUUUCUCCAUUAUAUACUCAAAUUGCCUUUUACCGAGUUCAUUCAAUUUCGGGGUAUGAAACAAAUUUGUAUGCUUAAAGUACACAUAGCUAAAGCGGGGACAAUAAUCUAUCUCAAUUUCAUAUCCAUUCACAAAAUAAUUGACUCUUGUGUCAGCCGACCAAUUAUUGCCUUCCGGAGGAAUACAAAUAUAAGUCAUAGAAGGGAUUUCUUUACGAAACCAGAAAGAAAUUGUGUCUCCCCUGCUUUGGUGCUCAAACCAAUCUGGUAUCCCCUCUUUUUCGUUUGGGAAAAGAAAACGAGUGCAUCGAGCCUCAUGUAGUUCCUGUUAGUGUAUAUGAAAUACAAAUAUAUAUUACACAUUAUCAAAUAUAAAUAUAUAUGAAAUACUAUAAAAGAUGUCAAAUACUUUAGUGCAAUAAAAAACAACAACUAACCUGACUCAUUAACAUUCUUCUACAUGAGGAACUCAAUGAUUUACAUUGAUAUGCGGAAAGCUCUUUAAGAUUUGGUGGAAUCCCUCUAAUUUCCUCAAGAGAAGAGCAGUAAUGCAAACCAAGAUGCUUAAGAUGGUGACAUUCACUAAGGCACUCAGGAAGAAUUUUGAAAUUGUUAUGUGAUAAGUCUAGCAAUUCCACAUUAACACACCACUUAAGAACUAUUUGGAGAUAUUCAUCUGAGAGGUUGCACUCGUAGAUUCUAAGCUUUGUCACCUUUGAAAACACUUUAGAAUACAUUCUAUCAUUAUGUUUUGGGAACCUCAGCAUUCUAGCUUCCCGUACUGAUAACUCAUCAAGUUCACUGAGAUUUUGAAAUGAAGAUGGCAAUUCUCCUAUGGAUAUAUUAUAAUCUAAAUCAAUCUCUUUGAUAUUUGUCAUCUUGCAUAAUAAUUCUGGAAAACUCUUGAGACUCGAACAACAACAGAUAUCCAGUUCCUUAAGAGAUGCCAACCCUAAAGGUGGAAAACGUUUGAGCUUUCUGCAACCAAAUGCACUUAACCUUUCAAGUUUGUUUAGGUGUCCAAUCGAAUUGUGAAUUGUAAUUAAAUUAUAACAACAUUCAAACGAUAACUUUUCUAAAUUUGAAAGGCCUGAGACAUCGGGUAUAUGUGUUAAAUAUUCACAAUGGUCCAAUAUCAAGAUUGUCAUAUCCUGGAACUUCUGCAUAAACACAAAGGAAGAAACUAUAAAUAAAUUAAAAAGCAAACACUAUACUUUCAUAGUGAUUUCUUUUAUGUUGGCGAAAAAGAAAUCAUUGUACAUUAUAAAUAUAUACAGUUAGAAAAUGAUUUUAUUUCACUUGCCUUGCUUAAAAUACUAGACGAGAGAGACUUUGAUAAACAUCCUUCCCAUUUCAAUGCUUUCAAACUGCUUGGAAGAUGCUUGAGACCUUUAGAACAAUGGCCAUUUUCAAUGAUAAGUGUUUUCAAUCUUGUCAUCUUUUUGAAGGCCUUUCCUUUCUUGUCUAUUACGGAUUCCAUGGAGUGCAAAUUCAUACAUAUCAUUUCAGUUUUACCAGUUCCCUUUUAACAAAAAUAAAAAUAAAAAAUGCAUCAACCACAAUAAAAAUCUUUUACAGAGAAAUUUACAUGUAAUUAAGUGGAAAAAAAAAUACUAAUAUGAGAUGGUCAUAUUUAGUCCAAAAUGAGCAAAAUUGUAUUAAAACUAAAUAACAAAUUGAACAUAGAUAUCAAUCUUACUCACAGUGUUUUCUGUUAAAACAUGAACUAUAUCAUCUUGAGACCAUAACCUGCUUCUUUCUCCAGGCUCUUUAGGUGAUUCUUGUCGGACCACUUCUUUACCCAUGACCUCUAUCAAUUCAUGUAAUGUCACUUUGAUACCACUGAAAAAGCACCAACUAAUCUUUAUGAGAGACUUAUCAACCAACACUCUAAGGUGGCUUUUUAUGCUAUAACCAUAAUGAUGAUGAAGUAUCUGUUCGACUUCUUCCAAUCUACAUCCUUUGAUGCAACAAGCAAUAUCCAAAAAGACACUCUGCUCCUCUUCGUCCAAAGCAUCAUAGCUCAGUCUAAGUAUCUUUUGGAUAUCUUUAUGUGGAAUUCUUCCAUACUUAUCUAAUGUAGACUCACAUUCUGCAAUACUCUUUCCAAACAAGUUAGAACCCACUACUUCUAUCGCUAAUGGAAGGCCAGAAGCAUAUACAACUGCACGCUUUAAAAUGUCUUCAUAACUUGAAGGAACUUUCUCAUUUUUAAAAGCCUUCCACCUCAACAAUUCAAGAGCUUCUGUCUCAUUCAACUCUUCUACUGCAUAUGUUUUUUCUAUCCCAUGACAGUCUAGUAAGUGUUUAUCUCGGGUGGUGAUGAUGACUCUGCUUCCAGGACCAAACCAAUCGAGUCUUCCAGCCAAAGCCUCUAGCUGAUCCAGUUUGUCAACAUCAUCAAGAAUCAAAAGAAUCUUCUUUCCAUGUAGCCUUUCCUUUAUUUUAGGAAUUCCUUCGCUAACACUUCCUAACUUAAUUUCAAGUUGAAGUGUUUUUAAAAGGAGCUCCUGCUGGAGAUUUUUCAAGUUAUUUGAAGCUGAACUCUCUUUCACAUUUUCAAGAAAACAUGAGCAUUCAAAUUGAUCAGCAAUAAAAUUAUAAAUUGCUUUCGCAAGUGUUGAUUUUCCCAAGCCUCCAAUCCCAUAAAUUCCAACCAUAUGGACCCCAUGAUCAGAUCCUUCAUCAAGAAGCGAUUUCAUUUGUUGUACUCGAGACUGCAAUCCAACAGGGUAAGUGGCAACAUGUAAGGGUUGUUGACUGAUCUUGUUGGAGAUGUAUUUGACUAUCUUUCCAAUAAGCUUGUAUUCAUAUCUAUUCAUGUGCAAUAAGAUAAGUUAGUGUCUAACAACAUCACAAUCACAUCCAUGUACUAAUGUAUUAUACAUUUCUAACUAUUUCGACAUAUAAAUAACUAAUAGUACUUUUAAAACUGUAUAUAAAAAAGGUAUUUCCCUUUUAACCUUUAAGAUGAGAUUAUUGUGAAAUUGAAGUUGAAGAAAUAAAAUAGAAAAGGGAAAAAUAGGAUUUAAGUAAAGUUGGGUACCCAGGAGGACUAUCAUGGUAGCCGGACAAGUUAGCAGCCUGGCUCAGAGCCUCUUUCCAUCCCUGCAACCUCUCCAUGCUUUUCGGAUCAUUUUGAAACCUCUUUUCAUGCUCAGCCAAUGCUUCACCAUAACUACCUUUCUGAUGUCGCACAAUAGUAGGUUCCACAGCAAAGAAAACAGGCAGAACGAGGCGACCCUUUGUCUUGUAGCAGUGAAUGAUGUGGACAAGUUCGUCCAAACAAAAUGAAGAAGAGGCAUAGUUGAUAGAAAACACAGCAAUAAAAAUCCUAGACUCUUCAAUGGCCUUGAGAAGUGAUGGUGUGAUUUCAUCCCCUCUUUGAAGUUCAUGAUUGUCAAUGAAGGUGUGGAUUCCCUUGUCAUCAAGAGCCUUGUAGAGAUUGCCGGUGAAACCGUACCGAGUGUCACUUCCUCUGAAAUUGAGGAAUACUUGGUAUUUGUACUCAUAGGAAAUUGAAGUGGAAGAGGAAGGUGAUUGCAUAGCCAUGAGAAUAUGAAUGAGAAGUUUUUGUGGUCUGUGAAGUCUUUGAUAGAAAUGGUAUGUGAAACUUCCUAUAGCCGUGUGGACCAAUCAUGUAGGAAAAGGGAAGGAAGCUUCCCAGUUCCCAUUUGGUAAAAGUGUAGAACCAAAAAACAGUGAAAAAUAGCUGCCAAGUUUGAUUUUGUCUUCAACUCAAUCAUUAUUUUUCCAACAUUUAUAAUUGUUAGUACAAUGUAAGAUUAACAUGAAAAAUAGGACAUUGUUAUAUUAGUUCUGUUGGAUAGCUAAUUAAACAUUUAACGUAAACAUGUACAAUAAUAAUUGUGUGUGCAUGGUUAAUUAACCAUUUGGUUCAAGUGGUAAUAUUUUCAAAAUAAAUAGAAACUAUUAUAUUUCAUAUCUAUGCUAACCUAAUCUUGUUGUUAACUACCUAAUUAACAAGCUAGUUUAAAAUGAAAAUAGUAUGAUCAAAACUUUCUGAUAUUUGCAUUACUAACUGUCUUUAAUUGUAUGUUUGAAUGGCAUAGCUUGUAUUUAUUUUAAGCUCAUGUAAUUUAAGAUACUGAUUAAUUAAGUAACAAAGUGAAAAAUUACAUGCAGCAGAAGAAUAAGAUUUGGCAAAAAGAUGAACAGUAACAAGAAAUUAGCAAGAAGAAGAGGUGGUAGUACAAUGAUUGGUCCACACGGCUAUAGGAAGUUUCACAUACCAUUUCUGUCAUAACUUUUCUCAUAAGUUAUAAAGUUACUUAUCAAAGACUUCACAGACCACAAAAACUUCUCAUUCAUAUUCUCAAACUCUUUUUUCAUCUAAUUUCUCUAAAAUCUCAUGGCUAUGCAAUCACCUUCCUCUUCCACUUCAAUUUCCUAUGAGUACAAAUACCAAGUAUUCCUCAGUUUCAGAGGAAGUGACACUCGGUACGGUUUCACCGGGAAUCUCUACAAGGCUCUUACUGACAAGGGAAUCAACACCUUCAUUGAUAAGAAUGGUCUUCAAAGAGGAGAUGAAAUCACACCAUCACUUCUCAAGGCCAUUGAAGAGUCUAGGAUUUUUAUUCCUGUGUUUUCUAUCAACUAUGCCUCUUCUUCAUUUUGUUUGGACGAACUUGUCCACAUCAUUCACUGCUACAAGACAAAGGGUCGCCUCGUUCUGCCUGUUUUCUUUGGUGUGGAACCUACUGUUGUGCGACAUCGUAAAGGUAGUUAUGGUGAAGCAUUGGCUGAGCAUGAAAAGAGGUUUCAAAAUGAUCCGAAAAACAUGGAGAGGUUGCAAGGAUGGAAAAAGGCUCUGAGCCAGGCUGCUAACUUGUCCGGCUACCAUGAUAGUCCUCCUGGGUACCCAACUUUACUUAAAUCCUAUUUUUCCCUUUUCUAUUUUAUUUCUUCAACUUCAAUUUUACAAUAAUCUCAUCUUAAAGGUUAAAAGGGAAAUACCUUUUUUAUAUACAGUUUUAAACAAGUACUAUUAGUUAUUUAUAUGUCGAAAUAGUUAGAAAUGUAUAAUACAUUCUUAGUACAUGGAUGUGAUUGUGAUGUUGUUAGACACUAACUUAUCUUAUUGCACAUGAAUAGAUAUGAAUACAAGCUUAUUGGAAAGAUAGUCAAAUACAUCUCCAACAAGAUCAGUCGACAGCCCUUACAUGUUGCCACUUACCCUGUUGGAUUGCAGUCUCGAGUACAACAAGUGAAAUCGCUUCUUGAUGAGGGAUCCGAUGAUGGGGUCCAUAUGGUUGGAAUUUAUGGCAUUGGAGGUUUGGGGAAAUCAACACUUGCAAGACAAAUCUAUAAUUUUGUUGCAGAUCAAUUCGAAGGUUCAUGUUUUCUUCAUGAUGUGAGAGAGAAUUCAGCUCAAAAUAACUUGAAAUAUCUCCAAGAGAAGCUCCUUUUAAAAACAACAGGUUUGGAAAUUAAGUUAGACCAUGUUAGUGAGGGAAUUCCAGUCAUAAAGGAAAGAUUAUGUAGAAAGAAGAUUCUUUUGAUUCUCGAUGAUGUUGACAAUUUGAAGCAACUGCAUGCUUUGGCUGGAGGACUUGAUUGGUUCGGAUGUGGAAGCAGAGUCAUCAUUACCACUCGAAACAAAGACUUACUAAGCAGUCAUGGCAUAGAAAGUACACAUGCAGUAGAAGGGUUGAAUGAGACAGAAGCUCUUGAAUUGUUGAGGUGGAUGGCUUUUAAAAGUGAUAAAGUUCCUUCAGGUUACGAAGACAUUUUAAACCGUGCAGUUGCAUAUGCUUUUGGCCUUCCGUUAGUUUUAGAAGUAGUGGGUUCUAACUUGUUUGGAAAGAGCAUAGAAGAUUGGAAGCAUACAUUAGAUGGGUAUGACAGGAUUCCCAAUAAAGAGAUCCAAAAGAUACUUAAGGUGAGCUAUGAUGCUUUGGAAGAAGAGGAGCAGAGUGUCUUUCUUGACAUCGCUUGCUGCUUCAAAGGAUAUCAAUGGAAGGAGUUCGAAGAUAUACUUUGUGCUCAUUAUGACCAUUGCAUAACACAUCAUCUAGGAGUGUUGGCUGGAAAAUCUCUCGUUAAGAUUAGUACUUAUUACCCUUCGGGAUCUAUUAAUGAUGUGAGAUUACAUGACUUGAUAAAGGACAUGGGUAAAGAAGUCGUCCGACAAGAAUCACCUAAAGAGCCUGGAGAACGAAGUAGGUUAUGGCGUCAAGAAGAUAUAAUUCAUGUUUUAAAAGAAAACACUGUGAGUAUGAUUGAUAUCUAUGAUCAUUUUGUUAUUUAGUUUUAAUACGACUUUGCUCUUUUUGCACUAAAUAUGAUCAUCUGAUACUAGCAUUUCUUUUCACUCAAUUACAUGUUAAUAUAUCUAUGUCUUAUUUUUAUUGUGGUUGAUUCAUGUUUUUAUCUUUGUUAAAAGGGAACUAGUAAAAUUGAAAUGAUAUAUAUGAAUCUCCACUCCAUGGAAUCCGUGAUAGACAAGAAAGGAAAGGCCUUCAAGAAGAUGACAAAACUGAAAACACUUAUCAUUGAAAAUGGCCUUUUUUCUGGAGGUCUCAAGUAUCUUCCAAGCAGUUUGCGUGUAUUGAAAUGGAAAGGAUGUUUAUCGAAGUGUCUGUCAUCUAGUAUUUUAAACAAGGCAAGUGAAAUAACUUCACAAUGAUUUUGUUUCAGUCAACAAAAGAAAUCAGUAUGAAAGUAUUAUUGUCUUUGAUUUUUAAUUUAUUGAUUUGUUUCUUCCUUGUGUGUAUGCAGAAGUUUCAGAAUAUGAAAGUCUUGACAUUGGACUAUUGUGAAUAUUUAACACAUAUACCCGAUGUCUCAGGCCUUUCAAAUUUAGAAAAGUUAUCGUUUACAUGUUGUGAUAAUUUAAUUACAAUUCACAAUUCUAUUGGACACCUAAAUAAACUUGAAUGGUUAAGUGCAUAUGGUUGCAGAAAGCUCGAACAUUUUCGACCUUUAGGGUUGGCAUCUCUUAAGAAAUUGAUACUCUAUGAGUGUGAGUGUCUUGAUAAUUUUCCAGAAUUAUUAUGCAAGAUGGCACAUAUAAAAGAGAUUGAUAUAUCUAAUACUUCCAUAGGAGAACUGCCAUUUUCAUUUCAAAAUCUCAGUGAACUUCAUGAGUUAACAGUGACAUCUGGAAUGAAGUUCCCAAAAAUAGUGUUUUCAAAUAUGACAAAGCUUUCUCUCUCCUUUUUCAACCUCUCAGAUGAAUGUCUCCCAAUAGUUCUCAAGUGGUGUGUUAAUAUGACACAUCUAGACUUAUCAUUUAGCAAUUUCAAAAUUCUUCCUGAGUGCCUUCGUGAAUGUCACCAUCUUGUUGAAAUUAAUGUGAUGUGCUGCGAGUCUCUUGAGGAAAUUAGAGGGAUUCCACCAAAUCUAAAAGAGCUUUGUGCUAGAUAUUGUAAAUCAUUGAGUUCCUCAAGUAGAAGAAUGUUAAUGAGUCAGGUUAGUUGUUGUUUUAUAUAGCACAAUAUUUUAUAUAUAAUAUUUAAUUUGUAAUUCAUAGUGUAAUUAUUAUUAUUUUGUAUAAACAAACAGAAACUACAUGAGGCGGGAUGCACCAAGAUUUAUUUCCCAAAUGGAAGAGAGGGGAUACCAGAUUGGUUUGAGCACCAAAGCAGGGGACCCAUAAUUUCUUUCUGGUUUCGUAAAGAAAUCCCUUCAAUAACUUGUAUAUUUAUUCUUCCGAAAGGCAAUGAGUAUGCCACAAGUGUCAAUGUUUUUGUGAAUGGAUAUGAAAUUGAGAUAGGUUGUUAUUGGUCUCUCUUUUUCUUCACGGACCAUACAACUUUGUUUCAUACCUCAAAAUUGAAUGAACUCAUUAAAACACAAUGCGAGUAUAAUAUAGAGAAAGGACUUUUGAAAAAUGAAUGGAUCUAUGUGGAGUUUAAGUUGAAGGAUCAUGAGAAUAGUGUUUAUGCACAAAGGGGAAUCCACGUGUGGAAUGAGAAAAGCAACACGGAGGAGGAGAAUGUGGUAUUCACAGAUCCUUGUAUUACAAAGACAAAAUCAGAUGAAUAUCUCAAUCAGAGCAAUAAUACUUCAUUAUCACAAUUUGAGCCUCCUCUAAAAAAGCAAAGAUUGGUGGAAGUUGGAGUUUCAGAGACAGAGGAGGAUAUCAAUGCUUCAUUGCAACAACAGGAAUUGAUGAAAGAGGAACAAAGAAAGACAUGGGGUACAUUCUGAAACACACCGCUUCAUUAAAAUAAUAAUAAUAAUAAUAAUAAAAUAUAUAUAGAAGUUACUAGACACACGUGGAAAAAAAAAAGAAAAAGAAAAGCAUAACACUUCCCUCAUUCUUUCUUUUCCUCCCGUAGCUCUCUCUGUUCUCACUUUUCUUUCCAUUUUGCUUCUUCCCUUUCCAUAAUCAACCAAUUCCACACACUAAUCAAACACCCAUAAGAGAAAUUAUUCACCAAAGUAAAACAAUUUCAUAUUACAAGUUAAUUUGGGUUUGAUUUUGGAGAUUGGGGUUAGGGUUCUGAGAAGAAAAAUACCCAUUUUGUGAAGGUUGCUCAUUGAGACUUUUUAAGGUAUAUUUAUCAACUUAUAUUUCAAUUAAUGCAUAUUUAGACAUGAUUAGUGAGUUAGAAAUUAAUUUGAGAGUAAAGUAUAAAAGAUUUCAACAUAUAAAUAUGACAUGGACUUUCAUUUACUUUGAAUGGUUAUAUAUAUAAUUUAAGCAAUGUAGGCACAUUACUUCUGCUAUUCGUUCCUUGUAGAAUAAGCAUUUGUGUCAUAUUCAAUCUAAAACAAAAGUUGGGAAUAAAUUAAUAAAUUCUGGAAGCCUAUAUGUUAUCAAUAAUGCGAUAAUACAUAUUCAACUUGCAUUUCAUGGUCAUCUAGUGCUACUAAAGUUCUGGAAUGAGUUUCUAAUAUAUGUGAAAACAUUAUUAAUGCUCAGAUACGAUGCCGGAUGCUUCACAUGCUUCUCCCGGGAUGGUUGGAGAGCACGCUUAGUUGAUUCAUCGUAACAGUGAGUUGAUGACGAUCAUUAUUGCUUAUUUUCAAUAUCGUUAUUAUUGAUAUUUUUAUGAUUUUAUAUGUUAAAAGUAUUUACAAAAAUGGGGAACACACCCUUCGAAUAUUUUUCUCGUUUUUGACACAUUUUUAAAAGUCAUUGAUAUUAUUGUGGUCUCUAUUUGGAUGUUAUCUGUAACUUCUAAGCAAAGGAUUGCAAAUUGAAAUUUGAUUGUGUACGUUUGACACAAGUUUGAUGUUUUACAAAAUCAUGGUUUUUAAACCUAUGUGUUCGAGAAAAAUGAUUAUCAUUAUGACGACCUAGGUGCACCUAGUAUGUGUUUUCAAUUAGGUAGAGUUACCCCAUUAGAUGGAGCCGCCCCUAUGGAAAGGCCGCCAUUAGGAGGAGAGGGCUAUCAAUGAGUGGUAAACUCUCUAAUUGAAAAUGUUUUACACUUUGUUUUGAGUCGAGAGAAAAGAGCUAUCCGUUAGAUGGAGCCGCCCCAUGGAAAGGCCACCAUUAGGAGGAGAGGGCUAUCAACGAGAUGGAGCUAGUUCUCGAUUCACCCAUUUGACUAUUUUCAAUAAAGUUGGAUUUUAUACUUACUUUUAAUUAAAUGGAAUUUGAUUUUAUAUUCUAUUUGGAAUUGAUUAUUUCGAUUCCUUUUUCAUUAUACGCGAUUCUAUAUUUUCUUUAAGUUGUGGAUUUGGGUUCACUUCCUUACGACAUUGGAAUUUUAAUAUACUUUUAUUUGGUUUGAUUAAGUUACGAUGUUUUCCGAAUUUUCAUGGCACACUCGAUUGUGAGUUUAUCAUAUUUUUAUACGGGUACUAGCUUUGUAAGUUAAAAAUUAGAUUUGAGAAAAAUAAAUAAUCGUGCUCUUGUGUGUUUCCCUUCUAGUCGGUGGUGGUUGUUGUCUCCUCACUAAGUCCUUGUGGCUUACUCUUUCUUUUCUAUUGUUUUUCAGAUUCCCGAGCAGCUGAGUAGGAAGCUGCAAGUAGAUCCGAAGUCCAUCAUUUCUAUUUUUGGUAGGCCUCCUUGAUGGAUGGCUUUUUAUUUAUGUAAAUAUUCAGUCAAUGUAUCUGCAGCUAUAUGGAGUUAGAGUGCCUCAUUUUGAGUUGUAAAGUUAUGUAAAAAUUGUCUUUUUGAGCUUCUGGAUGAUGUGACAGGUUUAUGGACAGGAUUCAUAUCUUGGUAACGUUAAAAAUACAAGGGAUACUCUGUCCAAAUUUUUGUAAAUAUUAUUUUGAUGAAAAAAAUGGAUAUCUGUAAAUUAUUUAUGUCAUUUGUCGAGUUUGGUCGUUAGGCUUGCCGGACUAAAAUGUACAAGUCUGUGCGCCGGUCACGAUUUUGUGCUUGGGUCGUGACAAAGUUGGUAUCAGAGCCCGGUUUUAGGUCCAAAUAGCUGCAGACAUAGAGUGAUAAUAGAUUUUUGCUAGUAAAUUGUGAACCGCGGCACCAUUUACUCGCAAAAAGCUAUUAGAACUCUAUGGUAGUCUCAUUUGUUGUCCGAAUUUGUGUCUUUGAUUCAUGUGGUCUUUGAUUGGUGUCACUUUCCUCGUUGUCUGCUUCUUUUUCUGAUCAAUGUUACUUUCUUAGGUGAGGAUGCCACCCAGGAAUAGGAACCGUCCUAGAAGGGAAGUUGUUGAUGAGUCAAAUGCACCACCUCAAGGCACUCGUCAUAGAGGUCGAGGCCGUGCUCGAGGUGGACGUGGGGUUAACGUUAGGGGACGUGGAGUUAAUGCAGGCAGGCAUGCCUUUGAUGAAGAGUUAUUCGAUGUUGAGGUUCCUAGAAGAAGACGUGGAAAUCCAGUUGUGGAAAAUGCUAACCUACAGGGUUUACAACAGGUUGUACAACAACUUGUUGAAAUUGUUGCUGGGCAGCAACAAGGAAACCAAACACAUGAAAAUUUAGAAGGUCAACAAGAAGUUAGACAGGUUGAUCAGGUGGUGGUAGCUCCAACAAGGGGAAUUGAGGUUACUUUAGCAGAAUUUUUGAAACUUAAACCACCUACUUUUUCCGGGUCUAGUGUGAGUGAAGAUCCACAACGAUUCAUUGAUGGACUAGAGAGGUUAUGGAGAGCAUUGGGAUGUUCAGAUGUAAGGGCAGUGGAAUUGACAUCUUAUCAGUUGGAAGGUGUGGCACAUGACUGGUUUGACACAGUGACACAUGGAAGACAAAUGGGAUCAUCUCCCAUGGCAUGGAAAGAAUUUUCUAAAUUAUUCAUGGCUCGUUUUCUUCCUCAAAGUGUUAGAGAUCAAUUAGCUCAUGAGUUUGAGAUAUUCGAGCAAACGGAGGGAAUGUCGGUUUCAGAGUAUAGUGCCCGUUUCACACAGCUUUCUAGGUAUGCUGCCUACUGUGUCACGGAAGAGAUGCGUAUCAAGAAGUUCAUCAGAGGGUUAAGGGAAUACAUAUUCAGAUCAGUGGUCGGUUCUAAUUGUCAGACUUUUGCAGACGUUUUAAGUUUGGCACUUCAGAUUGAGCAGCGACAGAAGGAUAAAGGAGGUACUAGACAAGAUCCUCGCAAGAAACAACGAGUGGAAGGAUCUCACAGUAAUUAUUCUAAUCGUGGGGGUGGAUCUAUGUUUGGAUAUCAGGGGCAACAAAAAUCAGUAUCACAGAAGGGUGGUUUUAGUGGACAAUCAUCUGGUACAGUGCAAAGUCAUAGGUCGGGUCACAGGGGAUCCACGGGGUCUACUUUUCCUCAUAGGCAUUCUAGUGGUACAACCAGAGCUUGUUCUGUUUGUGGUAGAUUUCAUUCUGGAACUUGUUUUAAUGAUGACAGAGAGUGCUUUCAAUGUGGUCAAAAGGGUCACAUUAAGAAGAAUUGUCCUAUACCUACAACACAACCAUCAUCUAGUCGUGCAUCAGCACCUGUAGCUUUAGCAUCUUCUCAUUCCCCUUCUGCACCUGUGAGACAAGAGGGAAAUUCUUUUGUUCGGGGUUCAGGAGCAUCUCAACAUGGAGGUAGAGGACCUGGAGGUAGAGGUCAGUCACAAGUAGGGAGAGGUCAUGCUCGGGUUUUUGCUUUGACCCGACAAGAUGCUCAGGCAUCUAAUGCAGUGGUUACAGGUACACUUUCUGUUUGUUCCCAAGAUGCACAUGUUUUGUUUGACCCUGGCGCUACAUAUUCUUUUGUAUCAUUAUACUUUGCUCCUCGACUUGGUAAAAGUUCAUCUUUUCUAGAUGAGACCUUAGUUGUGACUACACCUGUUGGUAAUAAUGUGCUAGCAAAGUCUGUGUAUUAUUCAUGUGAUGUAUCUAUUGAGGGCAAAGUAUUACCUGCGGAUCUAGUGGUCCUUAAUAUGGUAGAUUUUGAUGUGAUUCUGGGUAUGGAUUGGUUGUCUUUACAUCAUGCCACCGUAGACUGUCAUAAUAAAGUUGUGAAAUUUAAACCACCUGGGGAAGCAACCUUCUCGUUUCAAGGAGAACGCAGUUGGGUACCAAAUAAUUUAAUCUCAUCAUUGAGAGCUAACAAACUUCUAAGUAGAGGUUGUCAAGGGUACUUAGCAUUGGUUAGGGAUGUUCAAGCGGGUGAAGAAAAGUUAGAAAAUGUUCCCAUAGUGUGUGAGUUUUCAGAUGUUUUCCCAGAAGAACUUCCUGGAAUACCACCUGAUAGGGAAAUUGAGUUCUCUAUAGACUUAAUUCCUGGCACUCAACCUAUAUCUAUACCUCCUUACCGAAUGGCCCCGGCAGAAUUGAAGGAGUUAAGGGAGCAACUACAAGAUCUUCUUGACAAGGGUUUUAUUCGUGCUAGUACUUCUCCGUGGGGUGCACCAGUAUUAUUUGUGAAGAAGAAAGAUGGAUCCAUGCGAUUAUGCGUAGACUAUAGACAGCUGAACAAGGUGACAAUAAAGAAUAAAUAUCCUUUACCCCGUAUUGACGAGUUGUUUGACCAACUUCAAGGAGCCCAAUGUUUUUCUAAGAUUGACUUACGGUCUGGGUAUCACCAAUUGAAGAUUAAGAGUGAGGAUAUAUCAAAGACAGCUUUUCGCACUCGUUAUGGACAUUAUGAAUUUCUUGUUAUGUCUUUUGGGCUUACAAAUGCUCCAGCAGCUUUUAUGGAUUUGAUGAACCGUGUUUUUAAACCAUUCUUGGAUCGGUUUGUGAUUGUUUUUAUUGAUGACAUCCUUAUUUAUUCCAAGAGUAGAGAGGAGCACGAGCAACAUCUCAGGUUGGUUUUGCAAACUUUAAGGGAGAAGCAAUUGUAUGCCAAAUUCUCUAAAUGUGAAUUUUGGUUGGAGAGUGUGGCGUUUCUAGGACAUAUUGUGUCAAAGAAUGGGAUAAGUGUUGACCCUAGCAAGGUUGAGGCAGUGCAGAAUUGGCCCAGGCCCACUUCAGUGAAGGAGAUUCGAAGUUUUCUUGGUUUAGCUGGCUAUUAUCGUCGUUUUGUGAAGGAUUUUUCCAAACUUGCGUUCCCAUUGACUAGAUUGACCCAAAAGAAAGUUGAGUUUAAAUGGACUGAUGCAUGUGAAGAAAGCUUUCAAAAGUUAAAGGAAUGUUUGAUUUCAGCACCUAUUUUGGCAUUACCAACGAGUGGUGGAGGUUAUGUUGUUUAUUGUGAUGCUUCUAGAGUUGGUCUUGGUUGUGUUCUUAUGCAGCAUGGUAAAGUUAUCGCCUAUGCAUCUAGACAACUUAAAAGGCAUGAGCAGAAUUAUCCUACACAUGAUUUAGAGAUGGCAGCAGUGAUUUUCGCUCUUAAAAUUUGGAGGCAUUACCUAUAUGGAGAGACUUGUGAGAUUUACACCGAUCACAAGAGUCUUAAGUAUAUUUUUGAGCAGCGCGAUUUGAAUCUAAGACAGAGAAGAUGGAUGGAGCUCUUGAAAGAUUAUGACUGUACGAUCUUAUAUCACCCUGGUAAAGCAAAUGUUGUUGCGGAUGCUUUAAGUAGGAAGUCCAUGGGUAGUCUUGCUCAUUUGACAGCAAUUAAGAGGCCAAUUGUUAAAGAGUUUCAAGAAAUUGUUGAAAGUGGAGUUCAAUUUGAGAUUGAUCAUUCAAGGACAUUGUUAGCCCACAUGAAAUUUCGUUCUACCUUAAUUGAUGAUAUCAAACAAGCUCAAAGUCAAGAUUCGGAGUUGAUGAAGAUGGUGGAUAAUGUGCGAAAUGGUAAAGUUUCAAACUUCUCAGUUGACUCCGAGGGUGUUUUGUGGUUGAAGUCUCGAAUUUGUGUCCCAAAUGUUGAUGAUUUAAGGAGGAAAAUCUUAGAGGAGGCUCAUCAUUCUUCUUAUACUAUUCAUCCAGGUUCUAAUAAGAUGUAUCAAGAUUUACGAGAAUUUUAUUGGUGGGAAGGAAUGAAGAGAGAUGUAGCGAAUUUUGUCUCUAAAUGUUUAGUGUGCCAGCAAGUGAAGGCUGAACACCAGAAGCCUGCGGGUUUACUUCAACCUAUUGAAAUACCUAAAUGGAAGUGGGAAGGCAUUGCUAUGGAUUUUGUUACAGGUUUGCCACGGACUCAGAAAGGUUUUGACUCUGUAUGGGUGAUUAUAGACCGUUUGACAAAGUCUGCACAUUUCUUACCUGUGAAGACUACCUAUACUGCUUCUCAGUAUGCUAAGAUUUAUUUAGAGGAGAUUGUUUCUUUGCAUGGUGUACCAAUUUCUAUUAUCUCUGAUCGUGGGGCUCAAUUUACCGCUCAAUUUUGGAAGUCUUUUCAAGCGGCAUUAGGAACUCGUUUGAAUCUUAGUACAGCUUUUCAUCCUCAAACUGAUGGUCAAUCUGAGAGAACUAUACAAAUUUUAGAGGAUAUGCUUCGUGCUUGUGUUCUUGAUCUUGGAGGAAGUUGGGAUCGAUACUUACCGAUGAUGGAAUUUGCAUACAAUAAUAGUUACCAAUCAAGUAUCCAAAUGGCACCUUUUGAGGCAUUGUAUGGUAGGCGAUGUAGGUCUCCUAUAGGAUGGUUUGAAGUUGGAGAAGCUAAGCUAGUGGGUCCCGAGUUGAUUCAGGAUGCCAUUGAUAAGGUUAAGUUGAUUCGAGAUCGUUUAGUAACUGCUCAGAGUAGGCAAAAAUCUUAUUCUGACAAGAGGCGACGUCCCUUAGAGUUCACAGUGGGGGAACAUGUAUUUUUACGUGUUUCGCCUAUGAAGGGCGUUUUGCGGUUUGGAAAAAAGGGCAAGCUAACUCCAAGAUUCAUUGGGCCGUUUGAGAUUUUGGAGAGAGUCGGACCUGUAGCUUAUCGAUUAGCACUUCCACCAGAUCUCUCACGAGUUCAUCCGGUCUUUCAUAUUUCUAUGCUUCGGAAAUACAUUUAUGACCCUUCUCAUGUGAUUAGUCAUAAAGAUGUGCAAUUGGAUGAAAAUCUGUCAUACACCGAACAUCCGGUAGCUUUAGUUGAUAAGGGAGUGAGACGUUUACGCUCAAAAGAUAUUGUGUCAGUGAAAGUUCUUUGGAAAGGUCCGUCGGGUGAAGAAACCACUUGGGAACCCGAAGAAACUAUACGUGGCAAGUAUCCACACUUAUUUGAAAAUCAAGGUUAGUAGUGUUUGCGAUGUAGCAAAAUUCGAGGACGAAUUUUCUUAAGGGGGGAAGACUGAAACACACCGCUUCAUUAAAAUAAUAAUAAUAAUAAUAAUAAUAAUAAUAAUAAUAAUAAAAUAUAUAUAGAAGUUACUAGACACACGUGGAAAAAAAAAAGAAAAAGAAAAGCAUAACACUUCCCUCAUUCUUUCUUUUCCUCCCGUAGCUCUCUCAGUUCUCACUUUUCUUUCCAUUUUGCUUCUUUCCUUUCCAUAAUCAACCAAUUCCACACACUAAUCAAACACCCAUAAGAGAAAUUAUUCACCAAAGUAAAACAAUUUCAUAUUACAAGUUAAUUUGGGUUUGAUUUUGGAGAUUGGGGUUAGGGUUCUGAGAAGAAAAAUACCCAUUUUGUGAAGGUUGCUCAUUGAGACUUUUUAAGGUAUAUUUAUCAACUUAUAUUUCAAUUAAUGCAUAUUUAGACAUGAUUAGUGAGUUAGAAAUUAAUUUGAGAGUAAAGUAUAAAAGAUUUCAACAUAUAAAUAUGACAUGGACUUUCAUUUACUUUGAAUGGUUAUAUAUAUAAUUUAAGCAAUGUAGGCACAUUGCUUCUGCUAUUCGUUCCUUGUAGAAUAAGCAUUUGUGUCAUAUUCGAUCUAAAACAAAAGUUGGGAAUAAAUUAAUAAAUUCUGGAAGCCUAUAUGUUAUCAAUAAUGCGAUAAUACAUAUUCAACUUGCAUUUCAUGGUCAUCUAGUGCUACUAAAGUUCUGGAAUGAGUUUCUAAUAUAUGUGAAAACAUUAUUAAUGCUCAGAUACGAUGCCGGAUGCUUCACAUGCUUCUCCCGGGAUGGUUGGAGAGCACGCUUAGUUGAUUCAUCGUAACAGUGAGUUGAUGACGAUCAUUAUUGCUUAUUUUCAAUAUCGUUAUUAUUGAUAUUUUUAUGAUUUUAUAUGUUAAAAGUAUUUACAAAAAUGGGGAACACACCCUUCGAAUAUUUUUCUCGUUUUUGACACAUUUUUAAAAGUCAUUGAUAUUAUUGUGGUCACUAUUUGGAUGUUAUCUGUAACUUCUAAGCAAAGGAUUGCAAAUUGAAAUUUGAUUGUGUACGUUUGACACAAGUUUGAUGUUUUACAAAAUCAUGGUUUUUAAACCUAUGUGUUCGAGAAAAAUGAUUAUCAUUAUGACGACCUAGGUGCACCUAGUAUGUGUUUUCAAUUAGGUAGAGUUACCCCAUUAGAUGGAGCCGCCCCUAUGGAAAGGCCGCCAUUAGGAGGAGAGGGCUAUCAAUGAGUGGUAAACUCUAAUUGAAAAUGUUUUACACUUUGUUUUGAGUCGAGAGAAAAGAGCUAUCCGUUAGAUGGAGCCGCCCCAUGGAAAGGCCACCAUUAGGAGGAGAGGGCUAUCAACGAGAUGGAGCUAGUUCUCGAUUCACCCAUUUGACUAUUUUCAAUAAAGUUGGAUUUUAUACUUACUUUUAAUUAAAUGGAAUUUGAUUUUAUAUUCUAUUUGGAAUUGAUUAUUUCGAUUCCUUUUUCAUUAUACGCGAUUCUAUAUUUUCUUUAAGUUGUGGAUUUGAGUUCACUUCCUUACGACAUUGGAAUUUUAAUAUACUUUUAUUUGGUUUGAUUAAGUUAAGAUGUUUUCCGAAUUUUCAUGGCACACUCGAUUGUGAGUUUAUCAUAUUUUUAUACGGGUACUAGCUUUGUAAGUUAAAAAUUAGAUUUGAGAAAAAUAAAUAAUCGUGCUCUUGUGUGUUUCCCUUCUAGUCGGUGGUGGUUGUUGUCUCCUCACUAAGUCCUUGUGGCUUACUCUUUCUUUUCUAUUGUUUUUCAGAUUCCCGAGCAGCUGAGUAGGAAGCUGCAAGUAGAUCCGAAGUCCAUCAUUUCUAUUUUUGGUAGGCCUCCUUGAUGGAUGGCUUUUUAUUUAUGUAAAUAUUCAGUCAAUGUAUCUGCAGCUAUAUGGAGUUAGAGUGCCUCAUUUUGAGUUGUAAAGUUAUGUAAAAAUUGUCUUUUUGAGCUUCUGGAUGAUGUGACAGGUUUAUGGACAGGAUUCAUAUCUUGGUAACGUUAAAAAUACAAGGGAUACUCUGUCCAAAUUUUUGUAAAUAUUAUUUUGAUGAAAAAAAUGGAUAUCUGUAAAUUAUUUAUGUCAUUUGUCGAGUUUGGUCGUUAGGCUUGCCGGACUAAAAUGUACAAGUCUGUGCGCCGGUCACGAUUUUGUGCUUGGGUCGUGACAUAUACUAGCAAAGUUUCAUCCACAAAUUUUACUUGUGUAAACUUUUCAGGUAACUAUUGUCACUUCGUUUAUCUAAAAAAAAAAUACAUAAAAAUUGAUUAAUAAAUAACUCAUUAAGCUUGAUCCCAAAAAAAUAAACACAUUUGCGCAAAUCUAUUACCCCAAAUCAUAUUGAUGAACAAUAAGCUUAUUAACUUUUACCCUUUAAUAAUUUCAUAGCACCCACCCAUCACUCUGCCCCCUGUCAUAUAUGCACAUGGCAGUAGGCAUGUCACAAAUUUUGGCAUCUUUUUCAUAACAAUAAAAGAAGCUCCAUUACACCAUGAGGAUACAUUUUGGUUACUUCUAACCAAAGAAAAACAAAAAGGAAAAUUUUGCAUUUCAAAUAUCAUCAAAUGACAUGUUAAUUGAGUCUCACAUUUGAUUUAACUUGUGCUUCCAACAGUAGUAGUAUCAACAGGACCCGGAUUCCGUGCAUUAAUAAAAGUCCAUAGUUUCAACUUUCAUGCAAUCGUUAAACUCCACCCUUUGUGAUCGAAUGGUUCAGAUUACAGAUACACGAAUUCGGUUUUCAACCAUCUCAACCGUAGAUUUAAAUCAGACUAAAUUGGUGCAGUUACUACUGGGAAUCCAUUUCCAUAUCAACUCCAUGAAAAACACUAAUAAAUAGACUAAAAGAAUUAUCCCACAUCAUGUACAACUAAAGAUUCCAAUGACUUCCGUUUCCAUCACAAACCAAAACAAAGAAACCAAAAGCCUAACAUUACAUCAUAUAUUGGUUGUUCUAAAUUACAUCCUUGACCAUGGUUAACAAUUUGGAGAGGGAAGGGAAAAGACAAGAAUGCCCCACAAAAUAAAAACUUCUCAAUUCAUUAUGCAGGAAUGUGAAAGUGCACAACUCUUUCCAUAUCAUCUUUAAAAUUUUGAUAAUGAAAAGCAUCAUGGAUGCAAAGGUAGUGCCUUUCCCUUUCAAUGAUUAACCUAAUCAACUUAGGGUAAUAUUGACAUCAUCACCAAGUGUGAAAAAAUCGAAGAAUACUUCAAGAUGAUAUCGGUUCGUAAGGGUAUGAUAACCAGGGGUGCUUUAGAGCUUCAGAUGCAGAAGGUCGCUUCUUCGGGUUAACCUCGAGCAAAUGAGAAACGAAGUCAAUGAAGCCUUGGUCCCCCAUCGGUAAUCUAUGCCUCAGAUGUCUUCUUUAGAAUCAGGUAUUCUAAUAUGUUGCUUUCCUGCAUAUCAAUACCCAAUACCUCACUGAAUAAUUUUUCCAUGAUAAUUAAAGAUACAAUGCAUGUUUUAUAUGAGCAUGUUUGGAUUGGGUUAUUUGAGCCUAUUAUCAACUCGCAUAAGUACUUGUGAGACUAUUUGAGAGAAUUUAUGGAAACAACUUAUGACAUGUUCAUAAGCUAUUUUCAAGUAAUUUCCGUAAACUCUCUAGGAUUGCAAAUGAAAUCAGCUUACAGCUUAUAUGAAAAUAAUUUGACUUUAUUUUAUCUUCUAUUAUAGAAAAUAACAUAUAUAAACACUUAUAUGAGAAGUGUCUAUGUUGUAAGCUUAAUUAAGUUGUUUAUCCAAACAUGAUACAAGCGAAUGAAAAUAAUCAAUUUUAGAAAUUUUAGGGAGCUAUCUCUUGAUUUGCUUUUUGAAGGCGAUGCAAAUGAAAAGAUAUCGAAAAUUUUAAAAUUGUUCGAUGAUGCAUUUCAUAUGCAAAUACAUUUUAGAAAUGAAUUUCUUACCUGAUUCCUCUCAUAAAGCAUAUGAUUUUUUGUGAAGUACUUAUAAGUAUCUCGUCCUUUUGCUAGCAUACUUUGACCAAUUGGACCGAUGAUCCCAAUUACCCUAGCUAGUAAUGUGGCCGAGGAAUCGUUUUGGAAUAAGACCUACAAUAAGCAUAGUUGAGUUCAUUAAGAAUCAAGAUUCAUGAGUGUAUUCACUAAAAUGGAUACAGAUUUGACAUCCGCUUUCACCCAAAAAUGUAAAAAAUCCUACAACUGCAAGAACACGUAACUUAAAAGAAAUUCACAGUACCUAAUAUGUCACAAAUCAUUUUCACGUCUAAAGAUACAGGGCGACUUGUUCUGUUCUAUUCUCUAUGUAGUUCCACUAAGACAACAGAAACUCACUAGCAUUGUCAAUCGUAGAUUGCAAAAAAUAUUGGUUUGUUCCGAUUCUGCUACACAGUAGUUCAAUAGUGCCACUAGAGCAACUAUUUGACAAUAUUUUGUACUAUAUAAUGCGUAAUACAGAAUAAUAAUGAUUUGUUCAAAUUCUGCUACGUUAUAGCCGCUAUUUAACAACACCCAAAUCAUUUUCAAAUUUAAAAUAUACUUCAUCAGUUUAUUUCAGGUACUGUUUGGAACACGAAUAGAAUUAAAUGGGACGGCUUAUUUAUUCUUCAACAAUUUUUCUGUUCUAUUUUUUAUUUGCUUCGAAAACGUAGAAUAUAAAUUAUUCUAUCCUAUUCUAAACUGACUACCUAAAACUUCCUUAAGACUAAUAGUGAUACAAUACAACAUAACAGAGCAAAUACGACUUACACAAAUUGGCAUCUAAACAAUGCCAUCACCGGGGGAAAAACACGAAUCAAGGAUCAUGCAGUAAAUUUUUCUGUUCUAUUUUUUAUUUGUGAAGAUUGCUUCAGAAACAGCAGAAAAUAGAUAAGACUUUGCCUUUGAUUUUCGCUGCUUUCUCUCCUUAUGAUUUUUGAUUUGUGCAAUUGUUGGAUUGUCUGGUAAUGGCUCAAUCUCAUAAUCAUCCUCAACAGCCUCCCAAAGAUCAUGAGGGUCAAGAUAAGCCUCCAUUUUGGUUGCCCAAAGGUGAUAGUUCUCACCCUCAAAGAUUGGCAAUUUUAUGGCUGAGUUAUCGGAGUGCAUUUUCAACUCUUUGGUAAGUGUUUGGGUGUUUAGUGGAACUCUCAACCUCACCAGGUCCCUCAAGAACAAGAGUGCUCUUGAUACCACUGUUGGAAUUUAGAAAAGAAAUUAAGCAGAUUUAUGAGUUCUGAAAACUGAAACACACAAAUUUCAUUCCUUCUAACAACCUUUAAAUACAAGAAAUUCAUAAUCAGAAAUAAACAAAAGAAAAACUGCCUAUAAAUUUGUAACAGACAACAUAAAUCUAUAACCUCCCAUAAUUCCUAUAAUUAAAAUCAUAACAGUCAUAACCAUAAAUACUACAACAAACUCUAAUAAUAGGUUCUGAUCCAUAUUCUCAACAGAAACUCCCACUUCCACCAAUCUUUGCUUUUUAAGAUAAGGAUCUGUGAAUACCACAUUCUCCUCCUCCGUGUUGCUUUUCUCAUUCCACACGUGGAUUCCCAUUUGUGCAUAAACACUAUUCUCGUGAUCCUUCGACCUAAACUCCACAUGGAUCCAUUCACUUUUCAAAAGUCCUUUGUCCAUAUUAUACAUGUGUUGUCCUUUACAGAGUUCUUCCAAUUUCAUAUCAAACAAAGUUAUAUGGUCCGGGAACAAACGUUGAGAGCGAUAACAACCUAUCUCAAUUUCAUAUCCAUUCACAUAUAAACUGAAAUUUGAGGCCCAACGGCGUUCCGGAAGAAUAAAAAUACAAGAUAUAGAAGGGAUUUCUUUAUGAAACCAAAAAGAAAUUGUGUCUCCCCUGCUUUGGUGCUCAAACCAAUCUGGUAUCCCCAGCUCUGUUCCGUUUGGGAAAUCAAAACGAGUGCAUCGAGCCUCAUGUAGUUGCUGUUAGUAUGUAUGAAAUACAAAUAUAUAUAUUACACACUGUCAAAUAUAAAUAUAUAUGAAAUACAAUAAAAGAUGUCAAAUACUAUAGUGCAAUAAAAAACAACAACAAACCUGACUCAUUAACAUUCUUCUACAUGAUGAACUCAAUGAUUUGCAUUCAUAAGCAUAGAGACUUCCAAGAUUUGGUGGAAUCCCUCUAAUUUCCUCAAGGGACUUGCAGUACCUCACAAUAAUUUCCACAAGAUGGUGACUUUCACUAAGGCACUCUGGAAGAAUUUUGAAAUCGCUAUAUGAUAAAUCUAGAUAUGUCAUAUUAACACACCACUUGAGAAGUAUUGGGAGACAUUCAUCUGAGAGGUAGCAAUCGAAGAGAGAAAGCUUUGUCAUAUUUGAAAACACUAUUGAAUACAUCUUAUCAUUAUGUUCUGGGAACCUCAGGAUUCCAUAUGACACUGUGAACUCAUCAAGUUCACUGAGAUUUUGAAAUGAAAAUGGCAGUUUUCCUAUGGAAAUAUAAAAUAUAUCAAUCUCUUUUAUAUGUGCCAUCUUGCAUAAUAAUUCUGGAAAAUUUUCGAGACACGAGCCACCCAUGAGAUUAAGUUCCUUAAGAGAUGCCAAACCUAAAGGUGGAAAAUGUUUGAGCUUUCUGUAACCAGUUACACUUAACCUUUCAAGUUUACUUAGGUGUCCAAUCGAAUUGUGAAUUGUAAUUAAAUUCUUACAAUGUUCAAACGAUAACUUUUCUAAAUUUGAAAGGCUUGAGACAUCGGGUAUAUGUGUUAAAUAUUCACAAUCGUCCAAUGUCAAGAUUUUCAUAUUCUGGAACUUCUGCAUAAACACAAGAAAGAAACAAUAAAUAAACUAAAAAUCAAAGACUAAUAUUACUUUCAUACUGAUUUCUUUUGUUGACGGAAACAAAAUAACUGAAGUUAUUUCACUUGCCUUGUUUAAAAUACUAGUUGACAGACACUUCGAUAAACAUCCCUUCCAUUUCAAUACACUCAAACUUCUUGGUAGAUGCUUGAGACCUUCAGAAAAAUGGCCAUUUUCAAUGAUAACUGUUUUGAGUUUUGUCAUCUUCUUGAAGGCCUUUCCUUUCUUGUCUAUCACGGAUUCCAUGGAGUGGAGAUUCAUAUAUAUCAUUUCAAUUUUACUAGUUCCCUUUUAACAAAGAUAAAAACAUGAAUCAACCACAAUAAAAAUAAGAUAUAGAAAUAUUAACAUGUAAUUGAGUGAAAAGAAAUGCUAGUAUCAGAUGAUCAUAUUUAGUGCAAAUAGAGCAAAGUCGUAUUAAAACUAAAUAACAAAAUGAUCAUAGAUAUCAAUCUUACUCACAGUGUUUUCUCUUAAAACCCGAGUUAUAUCAUCCUGACAGCAUAACCUACUUCUUUCUCCAGGCUCUUUAGUUGAUUCUUGUCGGACGACUUCUUUACCCAUGUCCUCUAUCAAGUCAUGUAAUGUCACACAACCAUAUUCCCUAUAUUGGUUUAUGAGAGAUUUUUCAGCCAACACUGCUAGAUGAUGUGUUAUGGAAUGGCCAUAAUGAGCAUGAAGCAUAUAUUUGGCAUCUUCCCAUCCAUGUCCUUUGAAGCAACAAGCAAUGUCCAGAAAGACACUUUGCUCCUCUUCUUCCAAAGCAUCAUAGCUCACUCUAAGUAUCUUUUGGAUCUCUUUAUUGGGAAUCCUGUCAUACCCAUCUAAUAUAUACUUCCAUUCUUCUAUGUUCUUUCCAAACAAGUUAGAACCCACUAUUUCUAUAACUAACGGAAGGCCAGAAACAUAUGAAACUGCACGACUUAAAAUCUCUUUGUACCUUGAUGGAACAUUGUCACUUUUAAAAGCCAUCCACCUCAACAAUUCAAGAGCUUCUGUCCCAUUCAACCCUUUUACUGCAUACGUUUUUUCUAUCCCAUGAUGGUCUAGUAAGUGUUUAUCUCGGGUGGUGAUGAUGACUCUGCUUCCAGGACCAAACCAAUCGAGUCCUCCAGCCAAAGCCUGUAGCUGAUCCAGUUUGUCAACAUCGUCGAGAAUCAAAAGAAUCUUCUUUCUAC